rnacentral:lncRNA from 1 species
UAUAUAUAUAUAUAUAUAUAUAUAUAUAUUGUCACCCUCCAACUCAUGAUUUGUGCCAUCAAAGGUGACUCCAUUUCCAAAAUAUUAAUUUAAUAGUGAUGAUCGAUAUCUUGUUUUGAUAGCUAGUCUUUCUGUCAUUAUUGUUUCAUACAAAGAAUAAUUUUGUUUGCAAUCAAUGUAAAUAUUGUUUAUUUGUUCCAAGUUAAAAUCAACUUUUUAUUUCUUUUAGCUCGGACAUACCAAAUGCUAUCAUAUUGUACCAAAUAUUAUUAUUGUUUUGUUCAUAGUUGAUUAUAAAUUUUUAGUAUAUAUUCAUAUAAUGUAAUGUUUUCUCCAUCAAGUUAUAUUAUCAAUAAUUAUUUUAAUACUUUUAGUAAAAAUAUAAAUAGUUAAAUCAAGUAAACAUCAAGAUGUCAUAUUCAAUUAAACAACGCCUUGUAAAAUAAGACUAAGGAAGUUUAUAUGUUGAAUUUUAAAGAUAUUUAGUGAAAAGUGUUUCAAUUUUUGUUAUUACAAGGAGAGAUCAACAUUUUUAUUCUUAUCAUGAUAGAGUGAUAUGUAUCUCAAGUCUUUGAUUAAGAUAUGAUCGGUCUCUUUUAUACCCACUUUUUAUUUUAAUUUUAUUCAAAGAGAAACGUUAGAAAUAAAGAAAAGUCAUAAUUAAAAGACAUUGUGAUUGAUAAUUUAGAUGUGAUUAGUUAAUAAUUUAACAAUUGUUUGCUUUUGCAAUAAUCUUAGACAAGCUAUUAAAUCUGAGCAUUCCUGUAUUCUAGCGAUAUUCAAGAUACUAUAAUAUUUCUAUCGCAAUACGAAUUCUAGAUAACAUUAUAGUGGCAGAUAAAUAGGAUAACUAACGCAUGAAAUACUGAAAUCUUCCCUUUUAUAUAUCUAAAUGGAAAACAAUUGAAAUAUAGAAAUUUUAAUUGUUCUUACAACAUUUUUCUCUAAUAGUUUGCUCGGCAUUACAACUUGUCCUCCGUCUUAUUGUUUGGUUUUAUCUACUUUAUGCAUGACCACAUGAUAACUACUAUAACAACAUGUUGUCUUAUUCACACACAAAUUUCGAUCAAACUUAAACUGUUUGAAUCUCAAAAUAUGAAAAGUUUCACAUAAAUGCGACAGAGGAAAUAUUUUUUUAUGGUUUUUCGAAAAACAUAAAAUUUGUUAAUUUAUACUUUUUACUAAAACAAUCAAGAACAUUCAAUCAUAUCAAACAAAUAUACUUUUUAAUCUAAUAUAAGAAGAACCUUCUCAAUUUGUUCAUUGAUUAUCAAUUAACACAAUACCCAAAAUUCAAUCAACUACAAUGUAAUAAACCUCCAAUUAUUUUUUCUUUAUUGCAUCUUUUCUCGGUGUUAAUAGCAUUGAUAUUGGUUAGUAUAAUCCCCUUGUUGUUCAUUUGGUUUCUGCGCAAGUUUUUGAAUGGUUGACUUUGGUAAAAACAUCAGGUCGACGACCUCAAAACACAAUUUUGGUAGCUCUGCUAGCUCCAAAACAUCAAGUUUGGUCAAAAGAAUCUUCGGAUCGGAUCUCGAGGCUUUCGAACUCAUUUCGAACUACCUUGUGGAAUUUGACUUGAAAUGGAGGUAAUUGGGUGUGGGACCCACUUUUCAUUGUUGAUAGGAUCUCGAUUGGAAGUUUUGACAUCUCUUUUGAGUCUGCAAUAUCAAAUUUGGUUGGGUAUGUUAGAAUAUAGGCGUCCACUAAAAGUCAAUGGACCUCCUUGACAUGUUAAGAAAAAUAUUGCAAGCAACAAUGGUAAGACAAGAAAAACAACAAAAAACAAGAAAAGCAGUUUACAUGGAAACCCCUUGCUCUAAGGGCGGUGAAAAUCACGACCUGUCCUCACAUGCUUUUCAAACAAAACUCCAUUUCUUCUAAAUAGAGCAACGAUUAAGAUUGCAACACCUUUGCAACUUAGGAAUUUUCCUCUAAAUUCCUCUACCCUAAAAGUUGUAUUUUCAUAACAAAUAGAGCAACUAUGCAAUAUCACAUUUUCCCACUGAGCUACCCAAUACAAUAUUACAUUGAAUUCACUAAGAAAUCCAUGGUUUCCCACUAACCAACUUGACACUGUCACGCCCCGAGUUACCUUCGAGACGCGGACACGGAAUCGAGGACCACAAGUGAUCCUAAGCUAACUCUGCUGGCAUGAUCAUGAGCAUACUAAAGAUAAUAAACUGUUGCAGAUGAUAAAUUAUAAUUUAAACUAAAAAGAUGGGAAGACCCAACUAAAUCUAGCAAAAUUUGAAAGUAAAAGACUAAAUGUUGAAAAGAAACUCAUGACUAUUGUCCUCGGAGAAUGACGACUCACGACUGAAUCUACUUAACUGAAGAUCGAAAAUCAAUCUAUGUGUGAUCUGGGUGAUGAGAACCUAAACCUACAUCACGAGAAGAUGUAGCGCACGUAUGCAUCAGUACUUAAAAGGUACUGAGCAUGUAGGAUUGAAUAAAGCUGACAUAAAACAUAACUGAACAAGCACAAAAGCAAGUAUAAUAAUCUGAACAUGAUAUAGAGAAUUUAUAGCUAAUUGAAUGCAAUCAAAAAUUUAUAACAUGCUGAAACUGAAUACUGGAUAUACUGAUAAAUGGUCAAUGUAAGAUGGUCUGACUGAACCGUGGAGUCCGAUGUAUACGCCCCAUCGAGAGGACCCAAUAUACCCUGCCAAAGAAAGGAAUAAAGCAUGUUGGCAUGAUCACUAAACUGAUUGCCCACCAACUUGGCUAGUAGUUCUGGAACUAUUGGGCACAUUGAACCCUAUCCAACUUGGUAUUAUGCUACUCCAAUUCAUUUAUGUAGUUAACUUAUUAUGUCUGAAUUUCUUUAAUUACUGGAUAGAUCAAAACUGCACAUGCAAACUAAUAAUGCAAAAUUUAAUCUGAUAAUGAUGUAUGAAAAACUGAAGCAUGUGUAAUUGCAUAACUGAAAUAUCUAACCUAGCAUGUGUAAUUAAAGAACUAAAGAAAUACAAAGCUAGGGUUUUAAAAUUCAUGCGAUAAUCUGAGUAAUAACAUGAUAAUCUGAUUUGGAAAAUAUAUUUUAACUAAAUCAUGAAGUUCUGCUGGAAUUCUAGGAAUCCUAGGUUUAAUCAUAAUAAGAGAAUCAAGACUGAUUGAAACUAGGGACCCAAUGGGUGAAAGGAACCCACCAAUGAAAUCCCAUAUACCUGGUUAUGAAAUUCACGGAAAAACACUUACAUUUCGGGGCAGGAAUUGCUGGAAACUUGUUGCAUUCUUGAACUAGGGUUCUUGAGCUUUUUCUCCUCUCUUGCUUCUAAUUUCCUAACUUUUUAUUUAUGAUUUUGACUUAGGUAAGUUCUUGUUAUGUUUCUAGUCUUAAACUGACUAAAAUCUGAUGAUUCAGGGUUAAAACAAUGUAUCUUAGGGUUUAAAUGAAGUGGGAAAAUACCAAAAGACCCUUGAGUUAAUUGUUGUCGGACCAAACGACGACCAAAACAGACAGUUCGUCGUUCCAUCGACGGUCCGUAGGUUGGGCCUGUUGAAUAGACAUUUACUAAAACGGGCAUAACGUUUUACUCGGAGGUCGAAUUUUAGCAAGGUCAGUGGAUAUGGAAAGAUAAUUUAAUUAUCUAUCUUGUUGUAUGUCAUAGGGCACAUAAUUUAUUUUGUGCUGAGAGUUAUAAUCAUUUGAAGUUGACCCAACUGCAUUUUCCCCCUAACUGUUUGCUAUUUCUCACUUACGGUCAGACCUAUGAAGCGUAGGUCAAUCUACGAACCGUAGGUCCAUCUACGGACCGUGAUGGUCAUCCAUGGAUCUUGUAUGAGAGUGGGGGAAUAGGGUGUCGAUUGACAGAUACCGACUACGGACCGUAGGUUCGUCCAUCGAUCAUGACUUAACUAAAUUUUGCUAGGCUGAGAUUUUUGAGGUUUCUAACCCCAUUGACGGAUGUGAAGGACGGACCGUGGGUCAGUUUGUGGUCCAUCGAUGGCGCCGUUGGUUACACCAACAGAUUUUUUUGAAAAUAUAGUGUUUGGUCUAUUUUGGAUACGGGGUGUUACAAGCACUAGAUGACUUAGGAUUUGACUAAGGAGCAAAGAAUGAUGCCCUUCAAACCAGUUAGACACAACUGAUUUAGAAUUUUGACGAAUUGAAAAAAGACCCUUUAUAGUUAGGAUUAUACUUACAACGAUGAAAACGGAAGUAAACACCUAAGACAACUUAGAGACAAGCUGCUCUAUCUAGUUCAUGUUGCUCUUUGGUAAGUACUUCUUGAGAUGAGUUGUUUUUGCCUUUCUACUUUGAAAAUCUAUGUUGCAAAAACUAAUGUUGUGUCUGUGUGUAAAUUUCCUUAUGAGAAACACACAACCUUCAAGGUAAUUCCAUUGACCCGAGUUUCUGCCACACUUGGAGACCGUGCACCAACUUGUGUACUUUUUCCGCUGUCAAUUGUUCGGAUAUGAAUGAUAGGGAUCAGGUCCCCUUACAAGAUCCUCUGUUUGUCAAAUCAUUAAAAUUGCAAAUAACAUUUUCUCCCAUUUUGAUGAUGACUAACUCAUAAUGAUAUAUGGUCUUCUUUCUCAACUUCCCCCUGUCUAUAAGGCACUUAUUAUUCCCCCAUUUGGCAUCAUAAAAAAGAGAGAAUAAACAAAUAUUAAAAGCAAACAUUCAUAGAAAGGUCGUAGUUUUCAGAAACACAUCAUAAAAAGAAUUAGACUGGAAGACAUCACAACAAAACAAAAUUACUUUUCAUUGUACAAAGUAAGAAUUCAUUACAUUGAUAAUAAAAUCCUAAAGAGAACUCGGGACACUGCCCACAUAAAAAAAUAGGCAAGGAAGAGAAUUAGGAGGAGGAGGCUGAUGAGUGAGAGAUCUGAUGACAAACGCAAGUCGGUCAUUGGUAGAGUCAUGAAACCUUUCUUAAAUUUCAACAAUUUGAGUCAGAAGGGAUGCAUUAUUCAGAUGCAACUCUUGGAUCUCUUUAGUACCAGGUCCGUCAGACUGAGCUUUGGCUAGAAGUGCCUUCAAUAGUUCAGAAUCCUUCUUCCCAACAAGUGUUGUCAUUUCCUCUAGUUAAUGGUUCAGUUAAUCUUGCUCAGCCACUAAGUGAAACAUUUUACUCAGUCGUCCUGUUUAACCCUCGGUGCACUCACACUCGACAAAGGUACAACAAGAAAUUGAUUAUUUAACUUUUCCAACAUUACCUGGUGCACUGAAAAACUUUUGCAUGAUCGAACAUUUGUAAGAGAGUAUCUAUAUCUCAUUCCAUGCUUGCCUUUACGUUCUAUUAUCGUCUUGUGCAUGUGUUCCAACAUGAGUGAUGUCAUAUUUAAUUGGGUUGAACUUCUAGAUAGAUUCCAUUAGGAAUAAACCUGUUGAAUUAGAAAUUGUACGCUUCUUAGAUCGAGGAAAAACCACUUUUUUCGCAAACUAAAACACAAUUGGUAUUCCCAUUUCAUGAGCUUCUUAUGAGUUCCUGCAUGAUGCAUGUUUGGAAGUGUAUAUCACUCAUUGGAAAAGUGAUGAGUACAGAUUUUCUAUCCGUGGACCUGAUCCCUUAUCUAUUUAGCUUUGGAAUAUCUCUCAACAACUCCUCAUUUAGAUGAAUCCAUUAAUCUCUCACCAAAGUCUGAAGACUUACAUCCUCAUUGAAAUCCACAUUGUAAUAUAACUUCCUUACUUGGUAUUCAUGCAUUACAUGAAAUUUAGUUGUGAACAUGUGAGUCCGUUAUUAAAUAUCCAAUAGAUCUGCCAACGAGUUCAUUCCAGGUUUCUUGAGGAUCAUGGGGUCAAAAACUCUCCCACAUAGGACCUUUUGUGCAGAUUGUUAACAAUAUCCUGCUUGGUGUGAUCCUUUCCAUAUCACUUUCUCUUGGUACCAAGUCCCUAUUCUAGUACAUUUUUAGCAAUAUGCACAAUCUCGACCUUUUAUUUUUAUUUUUCCAUAGCCUUUUUCUUAGUUGUUGCUUUAGCCUUCUCCCAUUUUCAGCAGCAACCCCAUGUGCAGAGAGAUAUCUAGAUUUUCCCUUUUCUUGUUCCUGUCUUCACCUCUGUAUCUUAGACAGUGAAGUAUCGUCUAAGUCAGUAUCAUUCUCUCACUGUUCAUUUCGGACCACCACCCCUCCUUCUCUAGGUAUAUCAAUCUUCAAAUUACAUUCCUUUUUCCUUCUUCUAUUUUCUUCAGUAGUUGCUUUGUUUGAAUUUUCUUUUUGGAGAUUCCUCAACAACCUUUUACAUUCCUUUUGCAGUUACAUGCACCAUUCUUUUUUGCACUGCCCAUUUGAGUGGAGUGGUGUCCUCAUCACUGUCGUUUGAGUCACUAGUAAAAGAAAGUCCAAGUUCUUGGUGUUCUAUUAAAGAUUGGUUCAGUGUUUUCAAAAAAAACUUCACCAAAACCACAACUUUCCUUAUUUAUCAACUCUUCUCGCAUCUAUGCUAUAUUCUCUAUAACCAAGAACUCACUAGCAGCAAGAAUAUUUGAUUCGGAAUGUCAAUGCUUAGGGAGGUCACUCUCAAACAAGCAAUUGUUGACAUAUAGGGACCAGGUUGGCUAGGAGGUGCAUAAUUAUUAAGGUCAAUAGGACACAAAGGAGACAACUAGUAUUAGUAUCUUUCCCCGGAAGAGAGAUUGACAAUUUUCAUCUUUGAGGAAACUUCGGGAGACAAGAAAAAAUAGGCAGGAUCUAUUUCAUUGGAAGUACCUAGUACAUUCCUAGGAGGUAAGGGUGAUUUAGACAUGACGAGAAGAAGAGCAAAGAAGAAGCCUUGAAAACAAUAAGUUAGGGUUUUCGUAGAGAAAAGGAACAAAGUGGAUUUUGAAUAGAUUUUGUAAAGGCCUAGUGGGAAGAGAUAUAAAAAGGAUUUGAAAAGAUGUGUCAUGUCCUUGAGAGAUACGACGCUUGAACUAAAAGUAAUGGAAACAUCGGUCAGAUUGACCGAUGGCUAACACAUAGAGGUCUCAACAUUUCUCAAUGUCAGUUUUAAAAUUAAUGAAAUAAAUUUUAACCUUUAUACAGGACAAGGUCCCUAUAUGAAUGUGAAAAGAUUAAUGGAGGAGCGGCAUACCAAAAAAAAGCCCUUCCUCAUAUUUGAACCAAUGACUUUGUUAGUCUAUUUUUAAAGGGUGAACUAAUCGACUUGCAUGUGUUAAGCAUACGACUGAAGUAGCAUGAUUAGACCUUCUUAUCACUUUUUUGACUAGUUAUUAACUUCAACCCCCCUUCUCCUACUUAGAUGGAGUUUGAAUUGUUAAGAGCCUUCUUCACUUCUCCAAUUUCCACUAGUGUAUACCUGCAAAGGAGGUACACAAUCGGUCUAACAUGGAAGGCACUAUAAUCACAAGGAUACUUGUUAUGCAGAUCAUAGACAUUGAAGGUGGAUGCCCAAGAAGAGACAACUUAGUCCAUUUUCAACAUUCCUAGCUUCCGCAUAUUAGUCACAAACUGAUCUUUACUCAAGGCUUUGGUAAAGAUAUAAGCAAUUUGAUCCUCGGCUUUGUAAUACUACAUACAAAUAGUUCCUUUUCAACAUUAUCCCUUAGACAGUGAUGUCUAACAUCAAUAUGCUUUGUUUUGUUACGUAACAAGAUUCUUCCACAUAAUGACAACACCGGUGUGAGUGAGAAUUCCAAAAUCUUUCAAUUGUUGCUUUACCCAAAGUAAUUGAGCUCAACAUGAGGCAACAACAACAUAUUCUGCCUUGGCUGCAGAGAAGGCCACAAAAUUUUGUUUCUUAGUUCCCUAUGAGAUGAGAAUGGAUCCAAGAAAGGGGGCCAUUCUGAAAAUGUUUUUCUUGUCAACCUGAUCCCCCGUCCCUUUUAGAACCUCAGAAUCCUCUUGACACCCUUUUGGUGCAACUCUUUGGGACAAGCUUGAAAUCUUGCACACAUCCAUACAUUGAACACUAUGUCAGGUCUACUUGUUGAGAUACAACAGUGAUCGAUAAUUCCGUUGUACAUAGUUUGAUUUACCAAGCCACCAGAAUCAUUAGCUCCCAAUUUGGAGUUAGUACUCAUGGGGUGUCAAGGGGCUUUGAAUCAGUCAUAUAAAACUUUUUCAGCAAUUAGUUGACAUAUUCAGGUCUCAUUUGAAGUUUGAUUGAUCUACAAACCUAAGAAAAAUGUAAUCUCUCCCAUCAUAUGCUCAUUUCAAAUUCAUUUCCCAUCAGAUUAGAUUUUUCACAUAGGACCUGUGAUGUUGCUCUAAAGAUGAUGUCAUCCACAUACACUUGAAUAAUAAGCAUCUCUAUCCUUCUACUCUUAGAGUAUUGUCAAUUAUCCCCCUUUUGAAAUCAUUUUUUCGAAAAAAAACUAGACAACCUUUCAUACUAAGCUCUAGGAGCCUGUUUCAGUCCAUAAAGAGCCUUGUCCAUCUUUAGCACAUGAUUUAGGUGAUCAAUAUUUUCGAACCAGUGUGUUUGUUUUAAGUAUACUUCUUACUUCAAAUCACCAUUUAGUAAAUCACUUUUGACGUCUAUGUGGAACAAAUUGAACUUCAUAUAUGAUGCAAAGCAAUGAGAAUUCGGAUGGACUCCAUUCUAGCGCCUGAAGCAAAUGAUUCAUCAUAGUUAAUGUCUUUUUCUUAAUUAUAGCGUUGAACCCACCAAUCUUGAUUUGUUUUUUGUGAUAAUGUCAUUUUCAUCAAGUUUGUUUCUAAACGCUUACCUAGUCCCAGUAAUAGUUUUUUCAUCAAGUCUAAGGACCAGGUGCCAUACUACACCACCCUGUAUCCAAAACAGACCAAAAACCAGCUUUUCAGAAAAAUUUGCAGGUGCAACCAACAGGGCCAUCGACGUACCAUAGAAUAACCCACGGUCCAUCCUACACAUCCGUCAAUGAGGUCAGAAAACCCCAAAAUGGCAGCCUAGAAAAAUUUGGUUAAGUCAUGAUCGCCGAACGGACCUACGAUCCGUAAGUCAGACUACGGUCCAUAGUCCGUGAACGUCGAUUGACACCUCAUUCACCCACUCUCUGAAAAGAGCCACGGAUGACAAACACGGUCCAUAGGUGGACCCACGGUCCAAAGGUCUGACCGUAGGUGGGAACCAGCAGACAGUUAAGGGGAAUAUCGAGUUGGAUCAAAUUCAAAUGGUCAUAACUCUUACAACAAAAUGAAUUAGGUGUGUCAUGACCUACCUACACGUAGAUAAUUAAAUUAUCUAUCGAUAUCCACAAACCUUGUUAAAAUAAGACCUUCGACUAAAGAGUUAUGUCCAUUUUAGUAAAGGCCUUACAAACAGGCCGAACCUAUGGACCCGACGAUGGACAAUCGAUCAAACGACAUACCAUCUGUCUAGGCCAUCGUUUGGUCAGACAGAAAUCAACUCAGGGGUCUUUUGGACUUUUCUCACUUCGUCUAAACCCUAAGAUACAUCAUUUUGACCUAAAUCAUCAAAUUUUAGUCAGUUUAAGCCUAGAAACAUAACAGAAAACUUACCUAAGUCAAAUCAUUAAUCAAAACUUGGAAAAUUAGAAGCAAGAAAUGAGAAAAAGGUAAAGAACCCUAGCUCAUGAACGCAACAAGUUUCCAGCGGUUCCAGUCCUGAAAUCUAAGUAUUUCUCCGUGAAUUUCAUCACCAUGUAUGUGAGAUUUCACUAGUGGGUUCCUUUCACCCAUUGGGUCCCUAGUUUUCAGUCAGUUCUUGAUUCUCUUAUCAUGAUUAACCUAGGGUUCCUAGAAUUAUAGAAGAACUUCAUGAUUUAGUUAAAAUAUAUGUUCCGAAUCAGGUUAUCAUGUUAUUACUCAGGUUGUAGUAUGAAUUUCAGAACCCUAGCUUUGUAUUUAUUUAGUUCUUGAAUCACACAUGUUAGGUCAGAUGUUUUAGUUAUGCAGUUAUACAUGCUUCAGUUUUAAUGCAUCAUUAUCAGAUUAAAUGUUGCAUUCCCAGUUUGCAUGUUCAGUGUUGAGCUAUCAAGUAUUUACAUAAAAUUCAGACAUAAUCCAUUAACUACAUAAAUCAAUGAGAGUAGCCUAAUACCGAGUUGGACUAGGGUUCAUCAUACCCAAUUAGCCCCAGAACUACUAGCCAAGUAGGUUGUAAGUCCCUUCUGUGGCAAUCAAUUUAGUGAUUACGCUAGCAUGCUUUUAUUCCUCUGGAAGGGUAUAUUGGAUCCUCUCGAUGGGGCGUAUACAUCUGACUCUAUAUUUAACUCAUGUGGAUUUAUUAUCGGUUAUUAGUAGCUCCUAAAUUUCAGUCAGACACUAUUACAUUGACCAUUUAUCAAUAUAUUCAGCAUUAAGUUCCAGUAUGUUAUAAAUUGGUCAUUGCAUCCAAUCAGCUCAAAAUUCAGUAUAUCAUGUUUAGAUUAUUAUACUUGUUUUUUUUCUUAUUCAAUUAUGUUUUGUUUCAGUUUUUUUCUAUCCUACAUGCUCAGUACCCUUCAAGUUCUGAGGCGUAUAUGCGUUAAAUCUUCUCAUGAUGUAGGUUCAAGUUCUUAGCAUCCAGAUAACGCAUAGAUCGAUUUCCCGAUCUCCAGUUCAACAGAUUCAUUGGCGAGUCCUCAUUCUCAGAUGAAAACAAUCAUGAGUUUCAUUUAAGUACUUUAGUAAUUUAAUUAUAGUUUUUUCUAGAUUUAGUUGGGGCUUGUCCAAGUAUUUUUAGUCCAGUUUAGAGGCUAUUUUCAGACAUACUUAGUUUCAGCUUAGUAUUGAGUUAAUAUUUCUUUUGUAUUAAACUCAUCGUUUUUAAAUACCUCAGUUAAGAUUAUGGGUAUUCCCCAUAUUUUCAGUUUAAAUUAUGAUUUUGCUUUCACAUUAGUUUAUUAUCUUUAGUAUGCUUAUGAUCAGGCCAACAGUAUUAGCUUGGGAUCACUUGUGGUACUAGGUUUCGUGUCUGCAUCUCGAGGGUAGGUCGGGGCGUGACAAAAUUUGGUAUCAGUGCACUAGGCUCAAGAGUCCUAGGAUGUCUUUAAAUCCCCACUAAGUACUUAUCAUAGGUGUGAAGUGCACUACAUCUAAUGAGAAGGAGGCUAUGCGUAAGGUAUGAUCUAAUCCCAUUUUAACUUGAUUUCUAUGUUUCAGAUCAUGCCUCCUGGUAGAGCUAACGUUAUGAAUGUGAAUGCCAUGAAUGUAAACCAGCUUCUCCAGUCUCAGAUCAAGAAGUCUUCUAUGCUGAGUUCAGUAAUGCCAUACAGAUAUUUGCUCAGAGAAUGACUAACCAUAACAAUCGGGUUCAUGCUCAUGUGAAUGAAAAUGGUGAAGCAGUAGCACCAAGGGUCCGUGACUUUGUUAGGAUGAAUCCACCUGAGUUCUUAGGAUUACAAACUAAUGAGGAUCUUCAAAAUUUCAUUGAUGAGAUCAAGAAAAUCUUUGAGGUAAGGCAAGUCAUUGGGAAUGAUCGGGUUGAGUUGACAUCAUACCAGUUGAAGGAUGUUGCUUUUAUUUGGUACACUCACUCGAAAGAGAAUAGGGAUGCAAAUGUGGUUCCUAUCAUUUAGGAUUGCUUUAGUGAGACUUUUAUCGACAAGUUUUUCCUAAUAGAGUUGAGAGAGGCAAAGGCUCAGGAAUUCAUGAACUCGAGGCAGGGUAACAUGACAAUCCAAGAGUAUGGGCUUAAGUUUAACCAACUCUCCCGGUAUUCUCCUCACAUGGUAGCUGACUCCAAGUCUCAGAUGAAGAAGUUCUUGUAUGGAGUGUUGGAUUUGGUGAAAACUGAGUGCAAAAAUGCUAUGUUACUUGGAGAUAUAAACAUAUCUAGGCUUAUGACUCAAGCUCAGCAGGUUGAGGUUGAUAAGCUUAGGGAACAAGCUAAUGAGAAUAAAAAGGCUAGGACUGGAAACUAUGACUAUUCUCAUCAAAAUCGGGUCGUGGAAAUCGCUCGCACAGUCAACAAAAGUUUUCAGCUCUAAUGCCUUCAUCAGCUAGUGUUUUAUCUUCCAAGAACAAGUUUGACCAGAAAGGUAAAGCACCAGGAUCUAAGUCUCUGGGAAAUUUUUCAGGCACCAAGACUUACCCCACUUGCCCUAAGUGUUGUAAGAACCAUCCGGGCGAAUGUCUUACAGGAAAAGAAGGAUGUUUUGAGUGCAGUCAGUCUGGUCACAGGUGAGGGAUUGUCCUUCUAGACAGGGUCAAGGAGGUGUUAAUGGUAGAGCUCAGUCUACAACUUCAUCAGCGCCAUCAAGUCACCAGACUCAGCAAGGUAACUCAUCUAGUACAAGCAGUGGUCAGCGCCAGAAUAGGUUGUAUGCUCUUAAAGCUCGCCAAGAUAAGGAAGGUUCUCCUGAUAUAGUCACUGGUACGUUACGAGUCUUUUACCUUGAUGUUUAUGCAUAGUUAGAUCCAGGGGUACUCUUUCCUUUGUAAUUCCUUAUAUAGCAGUCCAAUUUAGUGUUGGUCCAGAAACUCUCUCAGAAUCUUUCUCAGUCUCUACUCCAGUCUGUGACCCCGUUAUAGCUAGACGAGUAUACAAAAAUUUCCCUAUCACAGUCUCUCAGAAAGUCACAUCAGCAGAUCUUGUAGAGUUAGAAAUGGUAGACUUUGAUGAAUUCUAGGCAUGGAUUGGUUACAUUCAUGUUAUGCCUCAGUCGAUUGUAGAACUAGGAUUGUUCAUUUCCAGUUUCUAGAUGAACCAAUCUUAGAAAGGAAGGGUAGUAUCUUAGCGCCUAUGGGUGGAUUCAUUUCUUACCUUAAGGCAAGAAACAUGAUAUCUAAGUGUUAUCUCUAUCAUCUAGUUAGGGUUAAGGAUUAUAGCUUUGAAACCCCAACUCUUUAAACAAUUCCAGUAGUCAGUAAGUUUCCAGAAGUGUUUACGAACAUCUUUCAUGAUAGGGAAAUUUACUUUGGAAUUGAUCUCCAGAUACCCAACCUAUUUCUAUUCCUUCUUACACAAUGGCUCUAGCAGAGCUUAAGGAAUUGAAAGAGAAAUUGAAAGACUUCUACAUAAUGUCUUCAUUAGACCUAGAAGAUACGGUAUUUUCAAAUCCCAAUGCGGCGUACUUGACCUAUUGGAGGUCUUGUAGAAGCCCUUAGACAUCAUUCAUUGCAUAUAUAACAAAAGUAGUACGGAAUUCAAACUUUUUUCUUUAGAAACAUAAUGCGGAAGUCAUUUCGUAAAAUGUCUAACAUAUGUAAUAAAAACCAUCGAUGACAUCAUGAGUAUAAUCGUCUUGUAUCACAACCCAUAAAAUUCUAAACAUGAAAGAACAUAAAAGAUAACAUAGUAGUGAUGUCCUUGGAUCCUAUGAGGACUCACCAAUUUUCACUUCUUGAUAAGCCUUGGAAACUCUACCCUUAAAAAUAACUCAAUCUGCUCAAGACCCUAUAAGGAAAACAUGUAGGCAAUAUGCAUUAGUACGAUACAUAAUAAGUAUAGAAACUAUCAUACGCAACAUAAGAUAUCUCAUAGGGUUAGUCAAUAAUAGACAUAAUCAUAAAAGAUAAAAACAUAAGCCUAACAUGAAUAUCAUAAGCAUAUUAAAGCAUCAUAAAAAAAUGUAAGAGUUCAUACUUAACCCCUUUGUCCUCAUUACUCAAAUGAACCAUACCACAUGCCACCUCCAAGAAUACUUGUGCAAGGCUAAGAUAGCAUCCCAUACUACUACCAAAGCUAAGUACCUCUCUUUGGUCAUUCUUGAUCAUGAUUCACUUUCAUAAUUAAGACCUAAGUUCAUCAUAACAUUUUGAACAAUGUGCCCCUAGGCCACCUCAAAGCACACUUGUGCAAUGCAUGUGAAGCAUACCAUACUACCUCACACACUAAGCAUAUCUUGAAGUCACCUAUCUUGUUUCAUGUCAUCUUAGGAAUUUCUAGUAGACCUACUUCAUCUUAUCAAGGAACUAUCAUCCUAAGUCAAUCAUGUCAUGGAAUUCAACCAUAGUCACUAUCCAAGGUAAGCAUACAUCAUGAAGGAGUCAUGUCAUAGGUCGCUGCAUGUCAUACUUGUGCCAUGUAUAGAUUACAUCUCAUACUACCAUUCAUACUAAGUAUUUCUCUAGACUUACCUAAUCUAAGAUAAUUUAUAUUAUAACAGUGUCUAUUAAGAUCAACAUACUACCAUAAUAGAUCUACUACCAUGGGAAGCAUCUUAACAUACUUACCAAGUUACUAAGGAAGGAUAAAACCAUCCUAACCACCAUGCAACCAAUCAUAUAGAUGCAAGAUAACCAUAGGGGAGCAUGAAUCAUAAACCCUAAGCUACCAUGAGAAACAAAUCUCAAACUACUCCAUCAAAUACACCUUACAUACAAAUUAAACUACCAUUAGAAGAGUAUAUGACCUUCUCCUAAAGCUACCAUAAAAUGGUUUUGUCCAAACUAAGUCAAGCUACCAUAAGUUCAACACCUCAAGCUACCAUGAGUAAUCUAACCUAAGCUUCUACGAGAAUCAACAUCCCAAUCUACCAUGAGUAUUUCAACUAAAGACCCCUUGAGAUUUACUAUCUCAAGCCACCCUUGAGAUCUACCAUAUCAAGCUUAUCAUGAUAUCCAACAUCUCAAUCUAUAAUAAAACAGUGCGCAAUGUAGCAGUUACAGGCCACCAUUGAUGGACCCAAUCGACGGGGCAUUGGUCCAUCGAUUGGCCGUUUUGUGCCCUCCAUCGAUUGGGUCUGAGGCAGUAAAGUGUCCAAGACUUCUCCAAGAUAAGUUACCAUCGAUGCCUCCCCAUCGACAGGGCUUCAGUCAACCCACAGAUCAUGCAUUGGUCUCGUCGAUUGACAAUUCCAAGGUAGUGUCUCGACAGCCUUGGGUCCUUCUUAUGGGCCCUUUUACGGGGCCCUUUAGGAGUCGUACCCAGACAUUUCCAACGUAAAUACAAACCUUAACAAGUUGUAGACCUCCACAUGAGUUUCACCCAAAAAAAUACACGUAACACGUCCAAACAGGCUAGGCCCCCAUCAAGACACACUUGAGCGUCUUAAGGGCUAACUUUGAAACGUCUUUGGAUAUUCUUGGAUGUUUGAGCUCCCAACUUCAUGAAACUCCAUAUACUGUCUAAAAAGAUCAUUAUAACUCAUUUUAAUACUUCAUAAGCUCAUGAAAUACGGUAUAUAAACACGUAUAGAUACAUGAGAACACAGGUGACUAGUCGUUGAACGUCUUGGUCGUCCCUUGACGUUUGACUUCCAAAUCACCUCAAACUUUACAUACUGCCUCUAAACGAUAUUAUAAUUUAUUUUAGGACCUUAGAACCUUAAUACAAACAUGUUAGGAUCUAUACACCCUAACUCAUUUUGGGGGUCUUACAACAAGCCCAACAUAUAACUUAUAUAUCUAGCAACAUAUUACUUACAUGACACAACACAAUAGUCAUAUGUUGCAACAUAUGACUUAGCCAUUUUUUUACAACAUGUAAUUUAUGUUUCGCUACAGAAUAGUAUAUGUAGCAACAUUUUACUUACAUUUUCCAACAUAAUAUCCAUAUGUUGCAACAUAUAACUUACACAUAUUGACACAUAUGAUUUAUUUGUCACAACAUAAUAGUUAUAUGUAGCAACAUAUGACUUUCAUUUCGUAACAAAAAAGUUAUAUGUUUCCACAUAUAACACUUCUUCAUUAUUAUUAAUUGUUUUUCUUAUUAAUCUCUUCAGGUAAAAUAAAUGAAGGGAUUAUUUGUAGUGAUUGAUUGUCAUGGUGAAUGGGUCGAGAAGAAAAAUCGAUACAUUUGGCGUUGGAAGGAUGGUAAGAAACGGAGAGGGUUGGUAGGGAUGACGAUCGAAUGAAAUAUUUUUUAUGAUGACUUUUUAAAUUUAGUCAUACAAAAUUCUAGAGUCAAUUGUCAACCUAAUAUCUUAUUAUGAGUAACAUUCCCCAGUUUUUUCAUUAUGAGAAGGUCUUACCUUUUAAAAUAACCGAUCAACCUAGUUUUCAUAUUUAUUUGGGAAGAAUAGAAAGAAUGUCCAUAUUAAGAGUCUAUGUGGAUGAAAAUCCUAUUGAGGAGGAUGACAAUCAAGAAGAAUACCAACAAGAUAGAUUAAAUGAUAAAUUUGAUGUUGUGGAUGUGAAUAAUCACGAUAAUGAAGUUGAAAUAGGUGAAGUGCUAGACUUUGAGAGCAACAAUCCUCCUACACCUAUUAUUGGCAGCAACAAUCUAGUUUCUGCUCAAACAUCGAUUGUGAGUAAUGUUCCAGAUGAUGAAACCAUUUUUAUAAGGGAUUGACAUUCAACAACAAGGAAGAACUGACAAAUUCAUUGAGAACUGUUUGCUUGAAAAAAGAUUUUAGACUGAAAGUAAUCAAUUCUUGUAAUACGUUUUCUAAAUUGUUCAUAUCCGAAGUGCAAUUAGUGGCUGGGACAAUAAAUUUUACAAGUAGCGACAUGUUUGUCAUUAAAAUAUAUAAAAAGUACAAUAUGAGUGGUUCAGAGCACUUUACAAGCGAUAUUCCACGUGCCACGAAAAACGUCAUUGGUGAGUACUUUGAAAAUAGGUUUUACAAUGGUAAAGGGUCAUCCACAAGAGACAUGUCAAAUCAACUCCAUACAGAAUUAGGUUGUAAGAUUUAUAAGGGCAUGGAGCAUGCUAAAUCUAAUGUUAGGGAAACACAUGAGCACAGGUGUGCAGUGCUUAAUUCCUAAUGUUAUAUGCUUUAAGAUGCAAAUCCAGGAAGCAAGAUGACAUUGUCUCUUGAUGAAAAUAGGAGGUUUCAAGUACUUCUUUGUAUCAUAUACCUCUUGGACAAAUGUUUUUUCAAGAAAUGAUAAAAGUAAUAGCCAUUGAUGGGACAUUCUUGAGGAGCAAGUAUGAAGGAGUUUUCCUAUUGGUCGUGACACAAGAUGCUAAGAAUCAUAUAUUUUCAGUUUCUUUCUGUGUUUUGGACAAAGAAUGUGAUGCCUCAUAUGAAUAUUUUUUUCAAAAUAUGAGAAGCUUUGUUGAUGAUACUGAUGAGUUGUGCAUUAUCUGUGAUAGGCAUCCAAGUAUUUGAAAGAUGAUUUUGAAUAUCUACCAUGCAUCUCAUUAUGGUUGUUGCAUUAGACAUCUUGGGGAAAAUAUUCGAGAUGACUUUCAAAAUGCAAAGAUAGUAACACAUUUUUAUUAAACAACAAAGGCGUAUGAUAGAUGUGAGUUCAACGACCAUUUCAAUCAAAUGAGCGAUUUGGUACAAAAGGUGGUUGAAAUCGGAUGAAAGUUUUGAUUAUUUCAUAGAGUCUAGAAUGCCAAAUUAGAUGGAAUACCAUGUAUCAUUUUCGUGCACGAGGUUUCGAAUGAACUCUGGGAACCCAGUCAGAGAAUUUAGAGUUUUGAAAAUCAGCUGAAGUGCUGAUAUCUGGGACAUGCUUUUAGCUACCAAAUAUUAGACUUCUAGCAAUCGAUUUUGGGCCUUUAUAUCCAGGAAUUUCAGCUAUUUUCAAAAAGCAAUAUCUCCCUUAUCCGAUCUACCAUUCGUGUGAUUCGAGUUCCUAUUUGAUCGUUCUGAGUGUGGAUACUUAAGUUUGUGAUUAGAAGUUGUGAGGAACCUUCCUUUGAGGUGAAUUUGAGCUCGAAGUUUCUGCCUUUGCUUGGUUUUCUUGUUAGUAUUGCACAUUGUGCUUGUGGUUGUUUCAAGGCCUCAGACCUUAUUCAAUUUGGGAACACAAGUUUGAGAUGUAGUAGGACAUUUUGACGGAAUCAAUUUUGGAUUUUUGGUGCGGGUUCCACCUUCCCAUUUUGACUCAGUUUUUGUUCCAUUUACAAUUGUUACGAUUUUAGUGUCAAAACAUAUGCAAUGAAAUUAUAUUAUCGAUAAUUUGAAAGUUUGCAGUGUUGUGAGGCAUUUCAGAUGCGGUUAACUCAUGUGUGGUGGAUUCAAAGUGCUCGUGUUCAUCUUUUAGGGUAGGUUUUACUCAACUUUCUUGAUUGAGCUUCUUAGAUAAUGCCUAGUAUAGAUGUUUUGUCAGAUGAUUUUUGCCUGCAUUUGGCUUUCCUAUUUUUUCUUGAUUCUUUAGGAGCCUUGGACUUAUUGUGGGUGUUGGGAUCCUUAUUAUAGAUUGUGGCUUCACUCGUGAAGUAGAUGAUCUUUCUUUUACUUGUUUGGAAUUAUUUGUGGUUGCCUUAGACUAGGUAGGAAAUUAGAUGCUUUGGAUUAUGUUUUAUCACCUCGUAGUUUUAUCACCUCGUAGUUAUAGUUUGACCCCAUUAAGGCUUGUUUUGGGUUGUUCACCUUGCAUUGAUUCUUGUGAUUUUGGUGGCUCGUCAUAGCUAUGGGUUGGUCAUAGAUGUGCUCAGUGUGGGACUAGAGCAUGUGAUUGGGGUAGGGCGUUUUCCAUUGAGUUUUCUCCCUCUUCUAUUGAUUGGAAAUCUCUUUUAGGUUCCCUUUUCUUGUUGAUUAGCGGUGGGCAUGUUUAAUACUUAUAGAGCUUAUUAUUAUAUUGUAGGGCCUGAGGUCAUGUGUGAGGACUCGUUACAUCAUAGGUUAGUAGUCUCUGCUUUAGUAGUGUGAUUUCAUUUGUUGUAAAAUUAUAUGAUUUUGAGUGUGUUGUUUGAAUGCUGGUGAUGGCAUGCAUGCAUUACUUUGUUUGCUCAUUCUCACAAAUUUUAUGAUAUGAUCCUAGCCCAUGCAUUUGCAUAUUUAUCGUUCAUGACGAGAUACUGCUUUCUCAAUUUUUUGUUCUGAACUGGUUUUAAUGGGAGUGGGACCACCUGUUUCACUUGACUUACUUAUUUUUUAGAUCAUGUGGGGUCAUCAGGGAUGUGCUUCUUUCCUACUUGAGAUAUUAGAGGCAUUUGCGAUAUUUUCAGUUUGCACUUGACUACAUGGCGCGUCGAUGCCCUUUUCUCUGAGCCAUUUUUCUGCAGAUGCAAAAAGCUUAAAGUACCAUGUGUGAAGAACAGAUGAAGUUGUGAUAUUCGAAUAGUUUUUCAGUUAUCUAUAUAUAGAUUUUUACAAGCAUAUAAAAAGGAGGAUUUCAAUAUUUGAUACGUUAGUUGACCUAUUUUUCUGUCAAUAUUAUAGUAUCUAGAAUUUGUCUUGUAAUAGCAAUAUCAUAGUAUCUUGAAUAUCCCUAAAAUAAAGGAAUAUUUAGAUUUACUAGCUUCUAUGAGAUUAUUAAGGAAUCAAAAUUUUGUUAAAUAUUUACUAAUCACCUUUAAAUUGUUAAUUACAAUGUAUUUUAUGUCCUUUCUUUAUUGGUUGUUUUUCUCUUUAAAUCAAAUAUAAAUAAAAAGUGGAUAUAAGAGAGACUUCUGCAAAUAUUAUAGUAUCUAGAAUUUGUCUUGUAAUAACAAUAUCAUACUAUUUUGAAUAUCCAUAAAAUAAGGAAUACUCAGAUUUACUAGCUUAUAUGAGAUUAUUAAUGAAUCGAAAUUUUGUUAAAUAUUUAUUAAUCACCAGUAAAUUAUUAAUUACAAUGAAUUCUAUAUCCUUUGUUUACUUGUUGUUGUCUAUUUAAAUCAAAUCAAAAUAAAAAGUGGAUAUAAGAGAGACACAAUAUAUCUUAAUCAAGUAUAGUUUAACUUGACACAGAUACCACAAUAUCAUGAUAAUGAUUACAAUGUUGGUUCUUCCUCGUACAAAAAAUCAUUACUAUUAAAAGUUUUUAACAUCAAAAUAUAAACUCCAUUAGUCUAAUUUUAUAAGUCAUUGGUUUGACUGAAUAUUGCAUCUUAAUGUUCACUUGAUACAAGUAUUUAUAUUACUAGAUUCAUGCAAAAUUCGAUAAAGAUGAGGUCUAGAGAAAUUCAGGGAAGAAUUGGAUAAAAUGUAUAAGCUAUGGUUAGUCGUUCUAUUAGCUAUGACAUGAAUGAUUUUGUAGGAAUUUUCAGAAAUAAAUUGGGGUGAGUAGAACUCGAUGCUAUCAGACCUGGCAUGAACGGGUUGGUUUGGGACGUCAAUUUUUUAAGGUGUGUUGAAAAAUGGAGACUUUUGGGAUUAUUUUUGCGUUUUUUUGUCCCAUGCAAGCUUCCAUAGUGGGUGACACACUACUUUUGCGGUGUAAUCAACUUCCGCUACAACAAAAGGUCUCGCUAUAGCACUUCCACAAUAGUGGGAUUGAGACGCUUUAGCGGUAUUGAUCGCAAUUAGUGGAGAAAAUUCCCCAAAGUCGUUAAUUAUUUGGAAUAAGUUUUGGGGAAGAAAAGGGAGACUUAAUUAGGGCAAAUUUCAGUCAUUUUUCAUUAAGAGCCUUCGUAAUCCAAUCUUCAACUUCAUACUUUGUUGCCUAGGCCAUUGAGGUGCUAUUAGGGACUCUAGGAAACGUUUUGGUAUUCCAAUCUUCAACUUCAUACUUUGAUUGCCUAGGCCAUUGAGGUGCUAUUAGGGACUCUAGGGAAUAGUUUGGUUUUGUUCCUAAGGUUGGAAGAUCUGAGUUACUGAGGAUUUUGGGUUUUUAAUCCUUGGUUUAAGUGUUAAAUGUUUUUCUUGAUUUAUCUAUUGUUAUUUACUCUAGUAGCUAUGAAAUUGAUAGUUUUUGGUGAAUUAAUGAUGGAAAAGUCUUGGAUUGGGUUAGAAGAUAAUAAGUUUGGCUUAGGGUUGAGAUUAAGUUAUAAUAUGAGUAUUACUAGGCCAUUGGAGAUUGAAUCUUAUACAUAUAUUGUUAGUUGUAGAUCAAUAACAAGCUAUCUAGGAUUUGUAACAAGGGGAAGACUCAAGUCCAAUAGAGCUUCCAAGGCCUAUUUCGAUAAAGGGGAUAGUUUAUUGCUUUCAAGAUAUGUAAUGUAUGCAUCAUAACAGUUUUUAUUGUAUUGUUUCUGAAAUGCAUGGUAAGGAAGAUCAAACAAAUGUAACUGAAAUGAUACCUUGUACACCAUCACAUGCAAUGAAGGUGUUUCACUUUUCCCGUCUUCUAUCAUAAUUCUUUAAGAAUAGAACAAUCGUGCUGAUAACGUGUUAGGAAAUUAUAAAAGAAGAAGAAAGCAGAGAGAAAAGAAGACUUAUUAUUUCUCUUAAGGGAUAUUCAGGAUUCAUGAAUCUUCUUUACUACGAAGGAAAACCUCUUUAUUUAUAGGGUAAACCUAAUUUUGUUACCAAGUAGGAUUCCUAAGCAUAUCCUAAAAGAACUCAAAAUAAUUAGACAUUCACUAUAAUACAAAUAUGCUUAUAACACAUAUGUUUAUUUUGUUUGAUUUUUAAUACAUUUAUUCAUAUGUGUAUUCAUUCCGUCUAAAUAUUAAUAAAUUUUAUAUUUUUUGUUUUACAUUGUAUUUCAAUCUCAAUUAGUAUAUUAACAUGUUUGUAUUUCCUUCUUAAUUUGUAUUAAUCCUAACUAUAUGCUAACAAUUUCAUAUUUUAUUGGCUAUUCAUUCUGUAUUUUAAUCUCAAAUUAUAUGUGAACAAGUUUGUAUUUCUCUUUUAUUUUGUAUUUAACCUAAUUGUAUACCAACAAGUUUUGUAUUUUACGUGUCUACUUUACCUUUCAAAGUCACUUUGUAUUUCAAAUGAUGAUAAUAUUUCUUUUAUAUUCACAACUUUAUAUUCAAUCUCACUUUGUAUUUAUAACUUUGUAUUUGCGUCUCACUUUUGUAUUCAUACAUAGUUUUAUUCAACAUAUAUAGCUCAUGAUGGAUUAUUUUGUAUUUUACCUUACAAAGUCACUUUGAAUUUCAAAUGAAGAGAGUAUGUCUUUUGUAUUCACAACUUUAUAUUUAAUCUCACUUUGUAAUAUUAACUUUGUAUUUUCAUCUCGCUUUUGUAUUCAUUUAUUGUUGUAUUCAAGAUAUAGUUCAUGAUCAAUUAGUUAGAAUAAUUUAAUGGGAUACAUAUUUUGUAUGCAUUCAAAUAGAAAAAACAGCUACUAAACUAAAAAAAAAAUCAUUCGUUACACGUCAUAAUUUGGAUAUAAACUAUUCGAAAAAGUUAUAAAUUCCAGUACAUACAAAGAUUUCACUGAUUCAAUUAGAAAAAAACACUCUUGUCCUCGACAUAUACGAAUAUCUCAUCCAAACAAAUAAAAGAAUCGAAAAAGUACUUCACCUGAUGCAACAAAUUUAUAGUCGUAUUCAACAUGAAGAAACUUUGAAAGUUAUCAGAUGAAUGAUUCGGAAGACAAACUAAAUUAUUUUAAAUUUCUUUUUAUGUCUUAAGAAUAAAGCAAAAAAAAAACGCUCGACAGAAAGAUGACUAUUUAUGCUCUUUCCAAAACGUAAUUGAUUGGUAUGUAAAAUCUUUUUUACCUUUAAUGAAUUUUUUUGUUCCAUGAUUUUCUCAAUUUUGUUAUAAAUUAUUUGUAUUCUUUCAAACUAAUUAAAAGAAAAUAUAUACAUAACUAAUACAUUAACAAAUUAAAAUAAUGACAUUUUUAAUAAAUAAUGAAAUUGUUGUUAAGGAGUCCCAAGCUAAAUAUUGUUGUUUUGAAAAUUUUCCCUCUAUUUAUUUCUAACAGUUCAUGUAUUAUAACUAUCAAAAUAUUUAAUUUCAGCCUAACUUGUUCGAGAGUUAACAGACUUAAAAAGAAGAGUAAUUAUUUAUAAACGUAGCGGGGAUAGCUCAGUUGGGAGAGCGUCAGACUGAAGAUCUGAAGGUUACGUGUUCGAUCCACGUUCACCGCAUUAUUAAUCUUUUUUUUUUUACUUUCUGUUCUUUUGUUGCAAAAUAUUUACAUUUGAGUUUUACUUUCUGUUCUUUUGUUGCAAUAUUUACAUUUGAGUUUUACUUUCUGUUCUUUUGUUGCAAUAUUUACAUUUGAGUUACCGAAGAAAGUUUAAUUACAUACAAGUAGGGAGUAGGUUAUACCCUUGUUGUAUUGAUUACCACUAACUUUAACUUCUUCAUAUAUAACUUUGCUCCAACUAACACAAUAUAUUUCUGCCUGGGACUAGGAGACACAAUAAGCAAGAACUCAAUAAUUAUUUGCUUCUAAAUUUCUCUCUAUUAGCUAUGUUAUUUCUUUAGAGUUUCUACAACACACAUUUUGUCUUGGGAAAUUUGUUUAAAAUAUAUAUGAUUUUUCAACAUGCAAUCCUUACAUUCAAUUCAUUUCACUACAUUUGAUUAGCCUUAAUGGCUUAGCCCUCUUUUCGAGAAUUAUAUUACUUUCUCUGUCCGGUAUUGUUUGUCAUGAUUUUUAUUUUUGAAAUCAAACCAUAAAAACUUUGACUAACAUUUUAUGAUAUAUUUUUUCAUCAUAUUAAUAUGCAAAAAAUUGCAAUUAUAGUACUUUUCAUAUAGUUUUAGAAUAUCUAAUUUUUUGUUUAAAAUAUCGAACUAAUGUUAUCUAAGUUAACUUUGAAAAUUAGUCAAAUUAACUUUUGAAAAACACAACAUGACAAACAAUUCUAGACGGAGGGAGUAUUUAAUAACUAUUCAUAUGUUAAUUUUUACUUCAUUAGACAUUAUCAACAAAUUCUGAUGUUGAAUUUUAGGAAACAUCUAUAUCAGGUGAAAUGUUCUUGAGAACUUUGUCAAAAUGCACGCCUCGAGCUUUGAAGAAUCUCCAACAAUGUUUGUGAUCAAGUAUUUAAUUUUCUAUAAGAGCUUUCAAUAGUUUUUUAGGUAUUAGUUAUUCGAGUAAUUUCCCUAGAUAGUCAUCCAUAUUUUGAAAAUUAUCUAGGAAUAUCAUUUAUGUUUAUUUUAGGACUAUAAUAUCACUUAACUUUGCCUAUUUUCCUCAAAAUAUACUUAACACCAAAAAAUCCAUUAUUUCUCACCUACUAGGGUACCAUGUCACAUUUUUUAACUUAUUAUUAAUAUUUUACUAAUUCUUUUAAAGAAUCGGAGGAACCCACACAUCUUUUUGAAAAAUCGUAGGAGCUCAUAUCACAGUUCUUAAUGUAAUAUUUUUUAUUGGAUAUAAUACAUGAGUUUGUAUAUUUUUUUUAAAAAAAAAAUCUAUCUAUAUAUAAUAGGAGAAGUAAGAAGUGUCACAUGUCAGCACCACAAAUAUUCAAGAAUCUUAAUUUUUCAAAAAAAACAUUUUAAAUAUGCUCUAAAAAUACAAUUAAAAAAACAAGAAUUUAAAUAUAUCUAUUUUAAAUAGACAAAAAAGUUCUUUUGUAAAAAAAAAAUAUAACGGCAAAAAAUGGAUGAUUUUUAAAUGUCUCUUAUUUCAAUUUUAAAGGAAAAAAUGAAAUUGAACUAACUUUUUAUAUAUGAAAACAGCAAUGGCAGGAAAAAAAAUGAAAGAUCUUUAAAUGGUUCAAAUUUCAAUUUUUAAGGUUAAAAAAUGAAAACUGAAAAUUGAAUUAUUUUAUAAAAAAAAUUGUAAUGUCUAUUUAUAUUUAUCACACUUUCAGUGAUUUUACGGAAUGCUCCAACAAAAUGAAAUGUAGAAAUAUCUAUCUAAAUAGGAAAAGAAAAAGUGCACCAUCAAAAAACUAUAAUUAUUGUUUACACAAUUAAUUAAAAACUUGUAUUAAAAUAUAAUAAUUAUCAUUCAAAAAUUAAAAAACUUAUUUUUAAAAAAUAGUUAAAACAAUCCAUUACUAGUUAUUGUAGAAGGGGGUACUUUUUUCAUUUAUUUUAAAAUUUAUCUUUAUAUACCUAAAAAAUAAAACAUUUUCAAAAAAUAUAAAUAGAAAAAAAUAUUUUUUUAAAAAAACAUAGUGCAACCUAAUGAUUAAAUAGGUUUAAUGCAUAUUUUUUUAAUAAAAAUAAAUAAAUAAUGUAAUAUGGCAUCUUAAUAGAAGAGAGAUAAUAUAUUUUUUGUGUCAAAUAUAGUUCGAAAAAAAUAUAUAAAAUUAAAUAAUAUUAUAGUUCUAAAAUAAACAUAAGUGAUAAACCUAGGUAAUUUCCGAAUUGGAGACUAUCCGAAGAAAUUACUCUAGUUCUUCCUUGUUUGUUUAUCAAACUAGGUGGAUUAGUUUCAAGUUACAAACUCAUGGGUUCUUCAUUAUUUUCUCUAACAUAUAUAAUUACUGUGUCAGAUGAAUCUAUAUUGGAUUUUUUUUAUUUUGUGAAUUCUUAAUGCACCAAAACUUAGUGUACGCAUGCAUGUAGAUGGUAUUUUUCUGUAUAAACAAAAUAAAAAUUAAUUUUGGAUAUAAAGUAAAAAGUUGAUUUUUCAUAUUUGAAAAUUAUUAUGAUUUUGAGUAAAAACAAACUGAUCCACGUGCUACUUUUGAUGUUUGGACAAAGUGAUUUGUAUUGAUGGCAUUUAACUCUUACAUCAAAUAUAACAUCAUCAGAAUUGAUGUUACAAGACGCAUCGUAAAAAUUAAUGACAAUGUUGUUGUAAAAAUUAAAAUUUUAUGAAACUUUAUAAGAUAAGUUUUAAUUUUAAUUGAAAUUUUAUAAGAUUGUAUUUUAUUUUAAUUAGGAUUUUUGGAAGUUAUUUUAUUGCAAAAUCUAGUUCAUAUAUAUAUAAAGAAUAGGAAAAAGGUAUGAUAUAUUCCUUAACUUUGUUACUUAGAGCUAAUAUAUUAUUUGUUAUGAAAGUGACUCAUUUAUAUCCCUACUUAUAAACAAAUGGCUCACGUAUAUCCUUUUCUUCUAACAGAAAUGAAAAAAAUUAAUUUUUUAUUAUAUUUUUUAAAAAAAAUAUAAUCUCAUAUGAGUAAUUUUAAUCCUCGUAAAAAAAAUUAAUUUUUUUUAUUUCAAUGACUAAUUUAGAAUUAUUUUUUGAUAAUCAAAUUUAUUUAUGUUUCACUAAUAUAUUUGUAAAACUUGUUGUAGAUGACCAAAUUUUUUCUCCUAAUACAAAAAUCAAAUUACAAUAUAGACAAAGAAAAUAGUUUAAAUUUUUUUCUUUAAACUAACGAAUGAAAGAAAAAAAAUAAGAACAAGAAACUCAAAUAAUUAUAAUAAAAGAAGUCAAAAAAUAAUUUAUGUAUGAAAAAAAUUAAAAUAUACCUUGAACUUUGAUAAAAGAAUCAUAUAUACCCCUAAAUAAUUUUUUUUAAAAAUAAAAGUAAAAAAUAUAAAUUUAAAAUUAAUUUUUUAACUUCCGUUAAAUGAAUGGUAUAUAUGAGCUCAUUUUGUAACGACAGGGGUAUAUGUGAGUCGUUUGUAUAACGGUAAAGACAUAUAUGAUCCACUUUCAUAACGAGGGAUAAAUCAGCUACAAAUAAUAAAGUUGAGAAAUAUCUCAGACCCUUUUCCCAUAUAGGAUAGUAUAUUUCCUUAAAGAGGGAUCACGAAUUUUUCAUAAAUUUAUGAAAUACUCAUACAAAUCAAAUUAAGAUGUGGUUGAACUCUUCCCGAUAACUAGAUACUUCCAAAAGAUCUAUAAAUUCUCCUUACAUGGAGUUCAAAUAAAUCCCAAUGAAGUCAAAAUCAUCCUACAUUUGAGAAAUACGUGACUAAAAGUUCUCAAAUCACAGAAAAUUUUUAGAGAGAAGAAUCAAGGGAACAAACAGAUUUGUACUCAUAUUAUUUUUUAUCAAAAAAAUAUAUAUUUCUUCGUAUUUUAUUUGCGAUGGUAAUUUAUUACUAUCUCUUAAAAUUUUGUCGUAGGCUCGUUGGGACAAAAUUUAUCUUUCAUUUCUUCUUUUUCAAAUCAAUUCCCAAAUUUAAAGUCAUAAAACCUCAAAGGUGGAAGCUCCAUUUUUAUUAAUACUUUCAAGUCUUUCAAGUCUUGUUUUUGAGUUUCAUCAGGUCUACAUUCCAGAAAGCCUUGAAAUGGAGAGCAUUUUUAGACAUCAAAAUUUUAUCUAUACAAGACGUUUUCUAUAUUCUAGUUAGAAUUUUUGGAGAUUACUUCAUCCCCAACUGUAGUUUAUGCGUAUAUAAAAGAUAGUUUAUUUUCUUGAAGAGGCACCUUAAAGUUUUCAUAAAUUUACAAAAAAAAUUACAAAAAAUCAUAUUAAGAUGUGGUCAAACUUUUAUUGACAACUAAAUGCUUCAAGAAGAUCUACAAAAUCCUCCUUACAUGGAGAUCAAAUAAAUAUCGAAAAUCAUCCUAUCUUCGAGAAAUGAACUAAUAGCAGAAGUUGAUCAUGAAGAAAUUUCAGAGAGAAGAAUUAAGAUAAUACACAGAUUUGUAAUCAUAUUAGUUUAUCAAUAAAAUUAUGUUUUUUCAUAUUUUAUUUGUAAAAUUAAUUUUUUUUAUCUCAAUAAAAUAUAUUGCAAACAGUGAAAACAACAUUUUACCAUACGUGUAAUUAAUUUUAUCUAGAACCACUUAUUCAUGUUGUAUUUUACUUUUUUGUAACAACAUUCUACCUAUAACAAUAAAAUCAUUCAGUAGUACACUCUUUAUAAAAUUACUUGUCUAUGGCAAUAUAUACGCAAAUAUUAUAUAAAAGUAUUUUGUAAAAUAUAUUUAAUUUGUACUCAUCAAUUAUUGUAAUAACUUCACGAAGAAAAGCUAGUUAGUGAUGUUUGCUUUUUAUAUAUCCACACUCGUCUAUUCUUGUUUUGGUUAAACCGAUUAACAAAUAUUUUGUUUUCAUUUAUAACAUCAAAAGUAUAAAAAAUAAAUUUUCACUAUUUUUGUUUAGAAGAAUCUAAUCAAGCUUGUAAUUGUCAGUGUUGUCAACUAGUAAAAAUAUUUGUACGGUGAUAAUCCUGUAAUGCAUGAUGAAUCAUCAAUUGGCAUCAUUGCUUUGAUGAAGUAAUUAAUCCCUUUUUUGAUAUAAAAGAAUUGGCAAAUUGUCAAGUUGUCAAAAAAGAAACUAACACAAAAGGAAAAAGAGAAUACUCACUCAUAUGUACGAUGAUAUUUGUUGAAGUGCCUAAAUUUGGUAUUUUUUUCUGUGUAUGCAAAAAAUGGUUUUACAAAGGCAUCUAAUUUAUCAUCGGGAAUCUUGGAUCUGUUUGGCCCCAAAUAUAUUUGGUAAAAAUUUAGAAAAAGUUUGGAAAGUAGUGUUUGAUCAUAUCAAGUUUUUGUUACUUUGGCAAAUAUAUUUUUCAAAUAUAAAAAGCUUUUUAAAUACUAGGAAAAAAAUGGUAUUCGAUUCUAAGUUCUAAUAUUUGAAAAUUUAAAAAGAAAUAAAAAUUUACCUCAAACUAUUGUAUUUUAUAAAAAAUGUCUAUCAUUUAUUAAUUCCAACGAAAAUUUAUCUAUCAAAUUAUUGCACUAUUAACUAAUAAAUAUUUAUCUUUGCUAUCUAUAUAGAACAUGGCAAAAUUAGAACGAUUUGUUUUUAAUAUAAUUCAUCUUGGAUCAGUGACAAGUUUGAGUAAUCGAUUGAUGUAUUAUUUUUGCUCAUAUUGGUAUUUUAUUGUUGUUGAUUGUCAUUAAUAUGUUACAAGAUUUUUUUUUAGCGGAACAUGUUAAUUAAAAAAUGACAAUACAAACUUAAAGGUGUUUUAAGUAAUUUUUAGAACUUGUUGGUACAAAUUGUGAAAUAAUUAAAUAUUUCUCCUAAAAAUUAUAGUUAAAUACAGAGUGAAACUUCAUCAUAUCUUCUCCUAAAAAUGAUUUGCCGAGAAUAUUUGAAAAUUCGGAGUCAAACACUAGCUAAGUAGCUUAGAAAUUGGUUAUAUGAACUCUCACCUUCUUGGUGGCUCGUUCGAUCACCACGCCAAAUUCUAGAAAAAAUUUACGUUUAGGCAAAGUUCUAAUAUAUGAGAAUUUUUUUUAAAAAAAAAAUAAAUUACCCCAAACUCUUUUAUUUAUAUAUAAAUAAAAUAACAUCCUUUAUCAGUUCCAACUAAUAUUUAUCUGUCAAACUAUUCCAUUAAUAACUAAUAAAUAUUUAUCUUUGCUAUCUAUACAGAACGUGGCAAAAAAAAAAAGAACGAUUUGUUUCUAAUAUGUUAUAAUUUAUCCUAAAUUAGUACAAGUUUGAGGCGAUUGAUAUAUUGCUCUUGAUCAUAUUGUUAUUUUCUUAUUAUUGAUUGUUAUUAAUUAUGUUAUAAGAUUUUUUUAACAUAACAUGUUUAUUAUAAAAUGAUAAUAUAAACUUAAAGAUGUUUUAAAUAAUUUUUAGACUUAUUAGUAUAAAUCAUAUCAUUUAAAAUAAUCAAAUAUUUAUUCCAAAAUCAAAUGCAUAAUGAAAUCUUCACCCAAAAAUAAUUUACUUAAAAUACUUAAAAAUUCUGAAUCAACGACUAACUUAAUAGAUUAGUGUAUGAUUAUCUGAACUCCCAUGAUAAUCCCUUUAUUCAUUUCCCCAUCUUCCUCAAUUUAUUUAAAAAGAAAAAAGAAUCAGAAAUUAUAUUUUAAAGUAAGAGAUCAGAUGUAAGUUUAAUCAAAUAAAGGUCCCACUUAGAUUGUAGGUGACGAUGCACUAAGGUUCAUGCAUCUUUGGGGUACGAUGAUUAUGACUCUAUUGUUUGGAUUAUUCUUUCUAAUCAACUUUUAAUUAAAUAUGCUUUUUGGAAUCAACAUCAUCUCGAAUAGUAAAUACCCACGAAUUAUGCAAUAAUUAACGAAAAAUAAUCAUGGCCGGUGCGUUUAGUACUAACACAAAUUUUUCUUUUAAAAGAAUUAGUUAUUCUCAAAUAUAUUUUUUUAGGAUAUUAGUUGAAGAGUAAAAUAUAAUUUUACUAAAAAAUAUUUAUUAAAAAUUGAUGAUAUUAUACCUCGAAGCCUCUUAGCUAGUUUCACUCGGAAAUAUAGGAGUAUAUGAAACCAGAUUGAUUUGAAUUUUUCAAAUAUCAAAUCAAAUUAUUUUUAUUGAAUUUUUCAAUUUAUGAACAUAAAUGAAUUAAUAAUACUUUUUUUUUUUGAGUUUUUCAACCUCUAAUUUCUUUGAGUUGGUUCGGGUAUUUCAAAUAUCAAAUCAAACUAUUUGUGUCAAAUUUUUAAAUUAAUAAAUUAAACCAAACUAAUAAACUUCGGAUAUUUUUGGUAAAGUAUUUAUAUAUAUAAACAUAUAAUUAACCAGUGCUUCAAAUAUUUUUUUAGUACAACCAUAAUACAAUUAUGUAAGAUGUUUCUUAAGAAGAUAAUACAAAAUAUGAGAUGAGUGAUGAUACUAAAAUAUUUAACCCAAAUUAAUAAUGAAAUCGUAUAAAAUAAAUAUUGCAAAUUAAUAAGUCAUAAUGAAAAUUAUCCUAACUUAAAAGUAUUAAUUCAUGUUAAAAUAAGUCUAAUAAAUAUAAGUUACAUGAUUAAACAAUUAAGAAAAUUUUAAAUAAGGUUAUAUAUUUUAAAUGUCUAAACCAAUGUAAAACUGUAGAACAAAUAUUCAACAUUAUUAUCAGUCUUAGUGUUGAAAUAAUUUUUUUUUUUGUUAGCAUUAGUAUUGCUUUGAUUUUGAAUUGAACUUUAUUAGAGUUACAAAUAUCUAUUGACUAUAACCUUUCUUGGAUCAUUCAAAAUUCUAAGGGGUCGUUCGGUAUGAAGAUUCAUAACGCAUAGAUUAGUAAUGGAGGGAUUAGUAAUGCAGGGUUAUGUAGUGCAGGGAUUAGUAAUGCAGGGUUUAUUUUUAUCAAGUGUUUGAUUCAUUUUUUCCACCUCAUCUUGUGUUUGGAUUAUAGCUCUAUAAAAAAAAUUCUUUCCAAUUAUACCCUUGAAUUAUUAUGUAAUUGGAUCAAGGUAGAUAAUUGUCGAACAAUAUUAUUUUUUUAUAACCUUCUAACUAGCUAUGAGAAGAACAAUUUAGUUGUCCUGUUUGUUAUUUUUUUACUUGAAUUAUUUGAGAGUAAAUAAGUGUCAUCUUAAUAAAUUGAUCACUCACAAAAGGUUAUUUUUUAAUUAAAAAAGAUAAAUCAUCUAUUUUUAAAAUUGAAAAAAGGGUCAACAAUGGUAAAAUUGAAUAAACCAUCUAUAUGUACACAUAAAAUUGCAAGUUUUAGUUUUAAUAUGUAUGUAAAUUUUUCAAAUUGUUUAAACGGACAUGCGCACGCGCGCACCCACCCACCCACCCACAUAUACACACAUACACACACACACACAUUUUUCAUUUAUUGAGAUAGCCGCGUGAUCCCACCAGUAUAUUGUGGUUGUGUAAGAACUACACUUGCACUUAUUCUGUUGAGUACAUGACAUCUUCUGGUGGCUAUUGACAGGCAUUGUUUAGAAGAUCAGUGACCAUUUUAUUUCCAAGGGUAAGUCAAUUCUUCCGAGCUGCUUUGAGUUCUCUUUUGUUUAAAUCCACUCUUUUCGGACAGAGACUAAUUGUUCAAGGUGUGUUUAGUUUUAGAGUUGUACCUCUUGUUCUUAGACUUGUUGUUCGUAGAGUUUUGAUACAAUGACUUUCAGGUUCUAGGGGUAGUAUUUACGUAUACGUGUUAGUUCAUUUGUAUAGUUCCUUGAUAAUUUAUUUUAGUAUUUAAAACUGCUUUUGUGUCAUUAAUUGUCUCAGUUUUGGUUUAGUUGCUUAGUUUAGGUUGUAGUAGUGGUCCUCCCACCAGAUAGUUAGUGUGGGUGUUAAAUCACGACGGUUUAGAUCGUGACAAAAGAUUAGAAAAGUCAAUUUUAAAUAAAAAUAUUAUGAUGAGAAAAAAAUAUUGGGACUCCUCUCUUAAGUUUUGCUUUAAGCCCCUUAUCUUGUUGAGUCGACCCUGGUCUCUACGAGAGCAUUCUUUGGCCCUUGAUACUAGUUUAGGUCUUCUCAUGUCUCUGGAUCCCUCUUACUCCUUGCUUUCCUUUCGUGAUGCUAAUUGGACUUUGCAUAUUGAUUCCCCAGAUUCAUUAGUGGAUACUCUAUCAGAAUUAGGUGGGUCUUACACACUUAUGUUGUGGAAAUCCAAAAAAAAAAUAAGUGUCUAUUUUGUUAAGAUAUGACACCUGACCCAACUCAAGUUCAUAAGCUAUAUUUUCAUGAGGAGAAGAUUGCUCGAAUUUAUAUAAGGAGACCACUAGUCCAUUUCUCAAUAAAUGUGAGACCUUUAACCAUUCUAACACCUCAUUUCAUUCCCAUACACACGUGAUGACAUAUGGAUCGAGAGCUCAAACGAGGAUGAACCUGACUCUGAUAUCAUAUAAAAAUAUGGCACAUGGGCCUAACUCAACCCAAAUAGCAAGCUCAUGAAGCGGGAAGUUUUCCAUUUUGUAUAAGGAGACCUAUAAUGACCUAGUUGGUCAUUUUUGGGUUCAUAAAUUAUCAUUCUGCCCCUCUCGAUAUUGACUCCGAGUUAAUUUUAAUUGAGUUUUGAAUGAUAGUUUCAAACUUUGAGAAAAAAGUUGUGAAUUUUUUUAAGUUUUGAACUUGAACGACUAAAGUUGUUAAAAAUAAUUUUUGGUGUAUUUUGGAGUUUCGAGUAUCGAAAUAAAAUUUUGUCAAUGCCAUCAGUCUUGAAAUGUGAAAUUGGUCUAAGAGAGUUGUUGGUUUCAUAUUCGGAGUCUUUUAAGGAUUUGAGGUCCUAAAUUGAAAUUUUGUGAAAAUUUAAUCUUUGGAUUGACUUCGAUUUGCGUUCAAGGUUUGGAUGCACAGAUCAAAAUUUCGAGAGUUCCGUUUGAUUCGAGGAAUAAUGUUAGGUCUAAGUGAGGUCUUGAUUGAAUUUUCAGAGGUUCUAGACCUUAUUUGACCUUUUUAGGCGUUAUAUUAAUUCUUUGUGGCUUUCACAAGUUUCGAAUCAAAGAUACCUCAAAUUCCUUCUUUGAUGGUUCAUCAAGUCUGGAACGCCGGGUAUAGUCAAUUUGCAUAUAUUAUUUGUGUGUACUGAAUUACGAAUCUUUAGGAUCUUUUCGAUUAUUUUUGUGUUGGCUGAUUUGCUAAGGUUUGAUAUUAACUACCCCUCGCUAUUGCGAUAGGAUGUUCGCUUUCACGAACCUCGCGAUUGAGAAAUUCUGAUCGUGAAAGCGAGAUAGGUGGAAUUCCAGACCUUCGAUCGCAAAGGGCUUGUUCACGAUUGCUAUCUUCGUGAAUGUGAAGGCUCUGCAAAGGCGAAGGCCGAGUUGGAAAGAAAAUUCAAAUAGUUUUAUUUGAUAGGUUAUGAGUCACGUAACUAUUUAAAUUCAAAGACAAAUGGCCGUUUGAAGUUAACCCAAGUAGAAUCUUAAAUCUAAAGUUAAUUGGUAGGUAUGCUUUUAACUUAACUCAACUUUGUGCUAAGGAAUUCUAUUGACCUUAAUUCAUAUCAAAAUUCAUUUUCACACUAAAGAAUUGAGUUUUACAUAUGUUGACAAAUUUAAGAAACACCCAAUACGAUUUUAAAUGUAAAUGAAGAAAAGUUCGAGUCUUAGAAUUUUGGGUUGACGUAUCAAUAUUAACAAGGUUACAAAGGAAGAAAUACAUAGAAGUUUAUCUUUGUCUGUUCCUUACAACUUGGGUCGGGUUCAUGUUAUUCCAGUAUUGGACUUGGUCAAGUUUAUUCUCAAAUAGUCCACACAAAACAAAGCAACUAUUGAAGAAGUGUCCCAAACAAUGAGUUAAUACCUCAGAUGGUCACUCAACUAUGCAGUAUUCUCUCAGAAAGUCAUUCAAUUUUCAAUUUUCACUCAAAAGUCACUCAACUAUGCACUUCUUUCUCAGAAAGUCACUCAAUUUUGAAUUUUAACUCAAAAAUCACUCAAUCUAUUAAAUUAUUUUUUAAUUGAAAUUUGUUGAUAUUAAUUAUUUAUAUAACAAAUCAAAAAUCUUAAAAAAUAAAUUAAACCAUUUAGUGAUCCAUCAACCAAACCCGACCCAUUAAAAAAUAUGAUAUGACCCAUUUCAUUGUCUUUGAUCCUAAAUUAAUCCCUCUCUUUAAACCUUGAAUUAGGAUUAAAGACAAAAUAAAAUGGGUCAUAUCAUAUUUCUUAAUGGGUCGGGUUAGGUGGAUGGAUCACUAAAUGGUUUAAAUUGUAUUUUUAUUUUUUUAAAAUUUUGGUUUGUUAUAUAAAUAAUUAAUAUCAAUAAAUUUUAAUUAUAAAAACAAUUUAAUAGAUUGAGUGACUUUUUUAGGAAAGAGUGGAUAGUUGAGUGAUUUUGAGUUAAAAUUCAAAGUUAAGUGAUUUUCUAAGAAAGAAGUGCAUAGUUGAGUGACUUUUGAGUGAAAAUUAAAAAUUGAGUGACUUUCUGAGACAAGAGUGCAUAGUUGAGUGACUAUCUGAGGUAUUAACUCUCCAAACAAUUUGACCGCAACCUUUUGGCUAUAUAAUUUUGGUUUUAUAACUAUAUGUUUAAGAGUCAAAAGUUGGUAGUGGUAUCUAAUCAAAGAGGACAACUUGGUAAUGAUGAAAGACGUCAGCAUGAAAUUAGAUAUUACAAUUGAUAAAAAAGAGUUGUUGCAACUAGGCUAAAUAUUUGGGUGCAUGUACGAUGUUGUAUUCUUUUAUGUCAUCACCCUCCUAGUUGUUUCAAUUGCAUCACCUCCUAAAUAUUCUUAUUUUUUUUAUUGUAUUUAUAUACUUAUUAUAUAAAUUCAACCCCAAAAUUAUUGAUUGCUAAUGAAUCACAAACGUUUCUCAUUAAAGUAUUUGGAAAUAUUUAGAAAAACUCAGAUAGAGAAAUACGAGUUAAAUUAAAGUAUCAUAAGAUUGAGGAAUAUUAUUAAAUUAUUCAAUUUCUCUUGGUUCAUGUAUGAAGUUUGUUAGCCAACUUGCCUCUUAGCACUCAAUUGAAUUUGAACAAGUGUUUAAAGAUGGACAACUUUCACAUAUAGCAAACAAAAAAAUUAUAUUUGUAUAAUAUAGCAAACUUUGCAUAAUUGCGCUCCAUAGCAAACAUAAAAACUGUAUAAUUUGCUAUACAUAUAAAAGUGUAUAAUUCGCUGGCCUAUUUCGCUGCAAUUGUAUAAUUAGCUUGGCAUACAGUAGAAUCGAAUUAAAAUGUAUGUAUAUUACAUAAUUAUAAGUGUAUAGCAAGAAGAUAUAUGUUUUUCUCGCUUUAUACAAAAACAUAAACACAAUAUAUACACUUUUGUUGUAUAAAGCUAGAAAAAAAUUAUAUUUCACUGCAAUUGUAUAAUUCUUUGGCCUUUUUCUCUGCAAUAUUUGAAGUAAAAUGUUUGUAAAUUAUAUAAUUAAGUGUAUAACACGAAGAUAUACAUUUUUGCAUGUGUAUAUACAAUUUUCUCUCGCUUUAUACAAAACAGAAACAGAAAUUAUACACUUCUGUGUAUAAAGCGAGAGAGGCGAGAAUGGGAGAGUGGCGAGCGAGACUUCUGGGAGAGAGACGCCUGGCAAAUUUUUGCCAACGUUUGCUAUGGAGCACAAUUAAAUCAAACCCUAGCUAUUCCAUUUAAUUUAGGUUAUUAGUUUGCUAUUUUAUACAAUUUUCCCUUUAAAGAUAGUACAGGUUAAAAUAACUAAAUAAUAAAAUCGCAAGGAACUUAUUUGUAAGAAAUAAAAAGUAGACAGGUAGUUAAACAAUAUAUAUUGAAAUAUCAAAUACAAUAGCCCUCAGCUGCGAAGGAAGUAAUAUAUUUUUUAGAAAAUUUAGUUAACUAGUCAAAAAAAUUAACUUAUUUAGUGAUAAUAUUCAUAAUUUAAUAAUAUUAGUAAACAUGUCAAAAAUGUCAUUAUUUUAAAAAUAAAUAAUAAUUCUGAUAUUAUUAAUAUUUUCUCUCUCAUUAUUUACACCUUUUUUUCUCUCUCAUAGAUUACACAUUUUCCUAUAUUUAUGUAAUUGGAUAGAUAUUAAUGUCAUUUUAAUUUUUCUCUCUUUUCUUAAGCUUAUCAAUUACUCUCUUUUACUUUCUUCCUAAUCAAAUCUCCAGAUUUUUCUCUCUUUUCUUACGCUUCUUUUCAAUUUCUCCCUCUAACAUUCUUUCAAAUCAAUUCCACAGAUUUUCGAUUCAAUAUAUUAAUAUUUUCUAUUAUUCUCAUUUAAUUUCAUUGCAAGAUUUGAUUUGAAGAUUAACAUUGAUUUGGAUAGUAUGUUUUUCAGAUUACUUAUUUAUUUACUUACUGAUUUUAGUGUUUUUUUUAAAUUUUUUUUAAUUUUGUUGUUGUUCUUAAAACAUUUUUUAGGGUUUGAGACUACAUAAUUCUCUCUUCAAUGGACGUUUUCAAGAGAGUUACUAAAGGUAUUGGACAAAGUAAUCAAAGUUCUUUCGAUUUUUCAUCAUUUAAUUUUUUUUUCACUCAAGAAUUAAACAACAAUAUGGGUUCCACUUCUAAAUAUAAGGAGGAUAUACGACGGGAAAAAAUGUCUGAAUCCAUCGAUGUGCAAAAUCACACACAAAUUCAUAACCAUGAAGUUGAAGAAAACCAAUUUGUUGGAGAAGAGGUAUUUUUUUGUAUGUUCUGUGUCUUGCAUGUUUAGUUUAAUUUGUUUAGUAAUUUUUAAGAUUAAAAAAAUUCAUGUUACAAUGUGUUUGGAAGUGUAUAUGAAAUUUUUAUUAUGUUAUAGUUAGUAUUUAUUUUUGUAUUUCAUAUAUUUACUGUAUUUUAUGUUCUGUUUUUUUUGUGUGUUAGUUAUGUCAAUGUAACACAUUAUAUGAGUUUGACUGUGUAUAUUUCAUAGUUUUAUGGUUUUUUGUAUUCAUAGAUUUGAAAAUGUAUAUUGAAUUUUGUUGAUGCUUUAGUCGGUAUGUAUUUUUGUAUUUCAUGUUUUAUUGUAUUUUCAUAGAUUUGAAAUUGUAUUUCAUAUAUUUAAUUAAUUUUGUAUUAUUAUUUUUUUGUGAUAGUUAUGUCAAUGUACCACAGUUAGUAUUUAUUUUUGUAUUUCAUAGUUUUAUUGUUUUUUAUAUUCAUAAAUUUGAAAGUAUAUAUUGAAUUUUGAUACUGUUUUAGUUGGUAUGUAUUUUUACAAUUAAUAAUUAUAUUCAUUCAAAAAUUAUGUUGCAUUGUUUCUGAAUUUGACAUUUUUUUCUAAUUUGUAUUUGUUCUAAAGAUAUGUCAACUAGUUAUGUAUUUUAUUUAAGAAUGAUUACACCAAAUAUUCAAUUAUUUCUUUUCAAUUUUAUAUUCAUUCACUUUUUCAUCACACUAUUUUUUGUAUUUUAUAUAUUAUUAUACAAAAUUCUAAAUAAAAACUAGAAUAAAUAGAAAUACAAAUAAAAUACAUAUUGAAAUGAAUACAUACAAAUUUUUGAAGAAAAAAAUAACUAUAUAGGGAAAAAAAUAUAUGAAUACAAAUAUAUUUCUUAAAUGACUAUAUAGAUACAUUCGGCAUAUCUAUUGGAAUGAAUACAAACUAAUAAAAUAAUAAUAAUAAAUAAAUAUAAAUAGAAUAUAUUGUGGAAUGACUAUAAUUUUAAAAAAGUAAAAAUUCUGGAGACAAAAAAAGAACAAAGUUUAUAUUUUAUUUGAAAAUGUAAUUGAUGAAAAAAUUAAGUGAUCCUUAACUUUUUUGAAAUAUUUUCUCUCUUGAUUUUCUCCCUUUUGUUAUUAGAUAAUUAUAUUCUUUAAAUUAAAACAAAUAACAAAAACAUAAAUUAGAUAUAUAAUAAACUAAAAUUUGAUAUUUUUAUUAAAUAUUAAAAGUGAUGCUAAUGAGCCCUCUUAAAUAUUAAAAUAUUUACAUUUCAAAAAAUUUCCCAUAAUUUUUUCUAUAAUAAGUGGCUAACUGCAAAAUAAUACACCAAUUGGUAUAUCAAAUUAUACUACAAGAUUUAAAAUACAAACAACACAUUAUAUAAAGUAAAGUCAUAUUUCUACAAUCAUAGCAUAGACAAUGUUUUUUUUUUAAUUCAUAUAAAAUUUGGUUUAUAAAACAUUUGUAUUAAGCAAUAUCAUUUAUGAGGCAUCAUGUCAAUUGAAAAUUUAAUAUUCUCUAGGUUCCUAAUUAUUUGUUCACUUUUUUUGUGUAGUUAUUCUUAAGUAUUUGUCCAUUCUGACAAAUCAAAAAAAGAUUAAAAAAAUUACAUAUUAUAUUCUUAAUUAAUUACUUUGAAAAGGGUAGAACUUCUUGCAAUCUUAAAUUUUUAAUUCAUUCAUUUCAUAAUUAAUAUGGAUAAAAUGGUAAACUCAUUGUAUCAAUCACUGUUCUCUUAAUAGGUGUGUUAAUUCAAAAGUGGACAAAUAAUUAGGAGCCUAAAUCAAUCCAUCACAAAUUAAUAAGGAGACAGUGAGUUAUAUGAUUAAGGAUGAAGCCGCAGGGUCAUCUUAACUCCUAGAUCAUUAAAGUCAUCACUUGGGGUCUCAUAUUUUUUUUGGGUCCCAUUAUUUCAAAACAUUGUUGGUAUUUUAUAAACAGAAAUGAUAUGUACUAUGAGUAUCAUGAUUUCUACUACGGAAAUUGUAUAUGAGAUGAAUAUAGAAACUGAAUUUUGUAAGAAAUAAUUUGACGAAGAUAUUGAUUAGGUAAAAUCACAAAGUCCCUUCAAGAAUCUUUUAAAGUUUAUAUAUAUAUAUAUAUAUAUAUAUUAUUUUUUUGAACUAAAAGUGUCGAUAGAAAUAAUACAAAUAAAAGAUAAUGAUCUAAUGAAAAUACUCAAUCAAAUAAAAAGACUUGAUACUUUUCCAUAUAGACAUAUUUGCUUAUAUAAUAAUGUUGACAGUUCCUAUAACUGUUGCCUCAGUCGAAAGAAAAUUUUCAAAAAUAAAGCUGAUUAAAUCUUAUUUCAUAUCAACAAUUUGUCAAGAGAGAUUGAAAGGGUUAACUAUAUUAUCAAUUGAAAAAGAAUUACUAAAACAAAACGAUUAUAAAACAAUAAUUAAUGACUUUGCAUCUACAAAUCUAGAAAAAUAGAUUUUAAAUAAAAGUAUGUAUGAAUAGUAUUAUGAAAAAAAAUAUUAGGACCCUUCUCUUAGGCCUCCAAUCUUUUCGAGUAAGUCCUAGAUGAAGGAGUACUUAUUAAUCCACCACAAUCCUUGUUGAUAUAGUUAAGAUUAUUGCAUACAAAUAAUGACUAAAAUAUUUCUUCAUUAUUACAUAUUGUUACUUUUAUGAAAUCACUAGGGGUGUACAUAACCAGAUUAGCUUGGAUUUUUCAAAUAUUAAAUCAAAUUAUUUGUAUCGAAUUUUUAAAUUUACAAAUCAAACAAACCAAUAAAACUCGAGUUUUUCAACUUCGGAUUUUUUCGAGUUUCUUCGGAUUUUUUGAAUUUUCGGGUUUUUUCGAUAAAGUAUUCAUACAAACAUAUAAUUUACUUGUAGUUCAAACAUUUCUUUACUCCUACUAAAAUGCAACUAUCUAAGUUAUUUCUCAAGAAAGUAACACAAAAUAUGAUAUGAUUAAUGAUACUAAAAUAUCCAACGAAAAAAUAAAUAAUAAAAUCGCGUAAAACAAAUAUUGCAAAUUAAUAAGUCAUUGUGAAAUUGAUCAUAAUUUAAAGUACUAAAUUAUGCUAAAAUAAGUUUAGUAAGUAUUAGUUACAUGACUAAAUAUUAAAAGAAAGUAAAAUUAGAUCAUAUAUUUUAAUUGUCUAAAUCUAUGUAAACUAAAAAACAAAUAUUCAAUAUUAAUGUCAUUCUUAGUGUUGAAUUGAUUUUCUUUUUGCAUUAAUAUUAAUUUGAUUUUUAUUUAAACUUUAUUAUAAUUACCAACAUGUAUGGACUAUAAUCUUUAUUAGAUCAUUAAGAAUUUUAACUUCCAAACAUGAAAUAAAUAUAUUAAAAGAUAAAAACUAUGAAAAAGUAUAAGAGAUAUUUAAAAAUUAUAUCAAAGUAAGUAUUUUUACGUUUAAAAUAAAAAUUUAAAAUUAUAUAUAUAUAUAUAUAUAUAUAUAUAUAUAUUGUCGGGUUGGUUUGAUUUCGGGUUGGUUAUUUUUAGUUGAAACCAAACCAAUCCAAAUAAAGCCAAAUUUUUUCAACACUAAACCUAGUCAAAUCAAACCACUACUCGAAUUUUUUCGAUUUAACUAAAUUUGCGAUUUAAUUCGAUUUUUGGGUCGAUUUUCUACACCCUAAAUGUUAUCAUUAAUGAUUGUCCUACUCUAUUUGUCCUAAUUUAUUUGUCAUUUUAAAAAAUUUUAAGAUUCAAAUUAUGUUACUUUUGAAAAAUAUCUUGUAACAUUUUUUUUUUAACUGUCAAUAUAAAAAAAAAUUGCAACUUAUGAUUCUUUUUUCAAUGAUUUUUAUAAUUAAUUUCAAUUUUAAAGAUUAUGUUAAUCUAAUUUGAUUUAGAUUUAAAAUUUAAUAAAAUUGACUCUCGAUAAAUUGAAGGUAUCACACAAAUUAACGUAUUUGUGUUUGUUUAUCUAAUUAUUAAUAAUAGAGAUGAUUUAUUCAAGAAAACUAUAACUUUUCUAACGAGGAAUGAAAUGAGAUUAUCAAUUAUAAAAACAACUUUCCCAUGUAAUUGUAAAAAAAAAAAAAAAAGGAAUCAAAAAGGUCCGAAAGAGAAUGAACAAAAAUUUAGUGAGGUACUUUACAAAUUACUGAACAGUUAUAUUUAAUCAUGAUUACUUAAAAGACACUAUAAAAAUGCAUAAUAAGAUUUGGGAGCAGUAAGUAAGGAAAGAGAUUUACAUGAUAUUUGAGGGUUACGUUGAAUUACAAUUCAUUAUUUAGUUUAUCUUAAUUCAUUUUAUCUUCAGACAGAAUUGAGAAUUAGUCAAUUUAUUUCUUUAGUUCAUUUUUAUCUUUUCAAAUUAUCUAUUCGUGUGAAAAAAAUUAGAAUUUUGAACUUUUUUUUUAUUUCUUUCCAAUAAAAUACCAUUGAAUUUAAGUUUUUCUUCCCAUUUUUGGAACUAUUGACGAACUUCUCUCAUUGUGAGAAAAUUAUGAAAAUAAUUCAGCAAAAUAUAUUACUAAAAAACAACGCAUUGUUUAUGAGUGAAAAUCAUUUACAUCCUUCGAUUUAACUUCUUUUUUUUUUAAAAAAAAAAACUCCUUAAUUAUGAACAAUGAAACAAUCUCCCCCUUUAAUUAUGAACAAUAGAUAUCCCCUCCCUCUUUCUAACGUGUGUCUAAGAAGCCAUUUACGAAUAUAUGAGUAAUAAUGUCUUGAAACGCAGCCUACAAAAGUCUAAAACAUAGUAAAUGACAUAAAGAUAACAUAAGGGUGUUGUCCUCGAAUGCUAUGAGGACUCAUCAAUCUUCAAUCUUCUCCAAACUUAGGAACCUAGCCUACAAACACUCAAUCUCCCAAAAAACCCUACAUUUGGUUAGAAAUGUAGGCAAUAUGCGUACAAACACUCAAUCUUCCAAAAAACCCUACAUUUGGUUAGAAAUGUAGGCAAUAUGCGUUAGUACAAAAGUACUAAGUAAGAAAGCUAAUAUAUAAAACAUAAUAUAUCUCGAAGGGUUGGUCAAUAUAAGGCAUAAUCAUUAGAGAUAAUAACAUAAUCACAAGAUAAUUACGACAUACGCAUUCUAACAUAGUAAUUCAACUUAAGACAUACAUAGGUUCAUACUUCAACUAUUUGUCCUUCUUACUCAAGUGAACUACAUCACAAGCCACCUCUAAGUAUACUUGUGCAAGUCCAAGGUGGCAUCCCAUACUACUACCUAAGCUAAGUACCUCUCUUUGGUCAUUCUUGAUCAUAAUCCACUUGUAUAAUUAAUACCUAUGUCUCUAUACGGAGGCAUGCCAUACAAAUCAUUUGAAAAAACUUCAUUGAAUAUGGACACCACCGUAAUAGACCCAAUAGAUGGAGUUUCAAUCUCAACAUCCCUUACAUGAGCCAAAUAAGUUGAACAACCUUGCUCUUUUAAUUUCCUAGCUCGGAUGGAGAAUAUAAUCUUAGCUUGUUUAGGUUGUGCACCCCUUUCCACUCUAAUUUUUUCCUUCCCAAAAUUUCUAGAGUCUCAUAUUUAGUAUUUACAAUUAAAAACAACAUAAUGGGGACACAACCAAGUCAUGCCUAAGAUUAUGUCGAAGUGCUCCAUAUCAAAAAUCACCAAAUCAGCCCAAGUCUGAAAUCCCAUAAACAAAUUAGGGCAAACACAAUACACAUGUGUGACUAUGACUGACUCGCUAACAGAGGUAGAAAUACGUAUAGGGUCAUUAAUAAUAUCACCUAACAUCUCAAAAUUAGAGGCAAAUCUCACAGACACAUAAGAAUAGGUGGAAUCUGAAUCAAAUAAUACAUUAGCCAUUCGAUCCCAGACAAUAAUAGUACCUGUGAUCACUUCAUUAGACAUCUCUACCUCGUUCUUUCCCAAAAAGGCACAACAUUGAGCUCUAUCAUCAACAGGAGUCACCUCAUUGCCUAGUUGCGUGUUACCUCUACCUCCUUUAUCAUUUUCUCUACUUCCACGUCCUCUCAGAUUUCCUCCAUGUCCUACUUGUGGACGUCCCCUGCCAUUAUUAUCAUUUCUCGUGGGUACAAUUGCUCGAGAAGGUUGUUGUACAGAUUCAAGCAAACACGCUUGUGGGCAAUUCUUCAUCAUGUGUCCCAGUUCCCCACAUCUAAAUCAAGUGCGGCCGCCAGAUGGUUUGCUGCCUGCCAUAUGCUCAACACUCUGAUCAACUUAAAAAUUAUUAGAAUGAGUCCUCAAAUAGUUACCAAAAGAGGGGCAUGGCAGAUUAAAUUGGCUUGGAUGCGAAUGUAGGUCGACCGAAUCAUCUACCAUAGGAGCCUUGAAUAUUUCCAGAAUUCUUGGUCCUCUUAGCCAAUGCCUUAUCUUGACUAGAUCGUUUCACCCCCUCCGCCUUCUUAACAUAAUCAGUCAUUUCAGUGAAGCUCCUUCUCACAAAAGUUAUGUGAACGGAUGACACUUGUAGCUCAGAAUCCAAACCUUUAAUAAACAACCAGAUCCUAUCAUCUUCAGUGGUAACCAAUUGUGUAGCAUAUCUAGAUAAAGCAUGGAACUUGGCUUCAUAUGCAGCCACAUAUAUUUAAUCCUGUUCUAAUGUCAUAAACUCAUCCUUCUUGCAAUCUCUCAAAGUUCUAGCUAGGCACAUACUUCUCUAAAAGAAAGGGCAUGAAAUUUGGUCCAAGUAACUAGAGGUAAUGUAGAUGCUCAGCAUUACAUAUAAGCUCUCCACCAUUGAUUGGCUUCACCUUGAAGUUGAAAUGACACGAACUCAACCCAUGUUGGUGAGUGAUACCCAAGUAAUGAAACCUCUCAUAACAAUCCAAUAUGAACUCAUAAGCAUCUUCUGUCUCAGAACCAAAAAAUAUCGGGGGCUUGAGCUUCAAAAACUUGGUCAACAUAUCAUGCUCCUUACCGAUCAUCACAGAACCUAACAAAUGAUGGAAGAAAGCAUCAUUACCUACCUCGCCAACUGGCUUGGGCACAACGUUAGCAACAUGAUGAUUCGCUUGGACUUGAGUAGGUGUAAUCAUCUCCGAACCAUCCAACCCUUUCAAAAAUGACAUAAUUUGUUGAGCUUACGCCAGAUCAAUGGGAGGGAUUCAUGUAACUUCAGCGUGCCCUUCUUCCUCGUUUUCAACCUCCUCGACAUUCUCAAACUCAACUUCCUCUUCUAUCUCUUCGUUAUGUACCAGAGGGUUCUCAUUUACCGAAUAUAAUCGUUUGGCACCUCAUUCACAAUAGGCGCCACUCUCCCACGACCUCUUCUCUUAACUCUUUCUCUACCUCUGCCUCGACUGCGAGCUCUCAUUGCGGGUUCCUCAGUUGGAGAAUUAGAAGAAGCUACAUGACUAACGUUGUUAUACCUAGUAUUAACCAUUUGUGAUAGAAUAGUGAAGGAAUUUAUAUACUAAUCUGAAUCGCUAGAUACCAAUUGGAAUGUCAUAGAAAGAAAGAGAUAAAGAGAAAAUGGAGAUUUUGUAAAGUCCUAUAGCCUCUUCAAGAAAAGUAAAGGAGUCCUCGUACCGUUCUACAAGUCUCUAUUAGACUCGUUUCUGUACAUCGAGAUCAAAACCUAGGCUCUGAUACAACCUUUUUCACGACCCACAUCAUCGUGAUUGACAUCCAGACUACAACUCGGUGGGAGAACCACUACUAACAACCAACCAAAGCAAUAAAUCUAAAACUAAAGCACUUAAGUUACGGAAGUAAGUUAAAUAACUAAGCUAAGUUUCAUUAUUAUUUAAAGAUCUAACAACUAAUAAUAGUGCGGAAGAUAAACCUAGAAUCUAAAAGUUAAUGUACCAAAACUAGAAAUGAGAUUCAAAUCUAACAACAAUUUCUAGUGAACUAUCUAACUAACUAAAAGAAGGUCUAGUCCGAAAAUGGUGGACAUAGACUAAAGAGAAUUUCAUGGCAGCUCGAACGAUGUGGCUCACCCUUUAACUCGAAUCGAUCAUCGAUAUUCUAAGCGAGGCUGUCAAUAGUCGCGUGAAGAUGACCUGUACUCAACAAAAAUAAGAGCAAGUGCUGAAUAAAUAUACAACCACUGUGUAUUGGUAGGAUCACGCGGCUAUCCCACUAGUGUAACAUAAACAGACAAUUACAACAUUAUAACACAUGCAUAAAUAUUAAUAUUCAAUACUAUCAUAUGAAUCAACAUCAUAAUUCACAUGCUUCAUCACAUAGUUGGUCCUCUCACGUAACCCAAAGUCAAACGGUUAGCAUGCCGGAAUUGACAAUCCAAUCCAAUUUCUUAUGUUGAAACAUGUCAACCGAUCCCAAUUAUCAUGUCAGAACGUGGAAGUUCGAAUCCAGUUAGCAUGCCAGAACGUGGCAGGCGAUCCCAAUCACGCAUCAAAAUAAUACAUCAAGAUCACCCAUUCAAUCAUGAUUUCAUAGUAUCGAUAUUUAUAUAUCUUCUUUCAACAUCUAUGAGCAAUAUUGUGAUAUGCAUACAUAUACAAGUAUCACAACGAAAAAUAAGUGUAUAUUAUACAAUCAUAUAAUCACAAUCAUCACUUACCUCGAAAUAAUCUUGAAACCCUACACAACUUAAUCCUUCCCUUUUCGGAUUCGUUCCUCUUGUUUGUGGUCUACAACUAACAAUUUAUAUACGGGAGUCAAUAAAGAAACACUAAAUUCCCAGAAUACUAACAAACUAUGAGCCCUAGUUCAAAUCCAUGAUCCCAACUAGUCAAUUUAGGGUUAAUUCCACCAUAGGAUUCUUCAAGAAAUACUUCGUCAUCUAUAUUGACCCACUCUAAAACAUUUUACGAAUCGAAAGACUAAUUUAGAGGGUGAAAAACUUACCUCUAGCUCGAAGAAUGGUGAAAAACGAGUUGGAAAAGCCCAGAGAUGGUCGUCUAAGGAUUUUAUUUAUGAUUUUAAAACCUGUCAUCCCGCUACAGCGACACCCAUCCCACUGUAGCGGCGUCGCUACAACAACACCAAUUCCGCUGCAGCAACACUUUUUGAACCAAGAGCUCCGUCUUGAAAAUUUUCAAAACUCCUAUAAAUCAAUCUCCGCCUCAUCCGCUACAGCGAUAUCCACCCCGAUAUAGCGGCAACGCUGCAAUGGAAAGAAUCUCGCUGCAGCGGCACAAAGCGAGUUAUUGAGCUCCUAAGGGAUUUUCAAUUUCCGUUUUUCAUAACAUAAUCUUAACCCACCAAACUCAGAAAGUACCCUUAAUGUUACGAUCGAUUCCCAGAGGUCUAUUCGAUUUCUCAAAGUUGUACGGAUCCCCUAUCGAGUUAUCUAGCCGAUUAUGUAAUCGAAUUCCUAUUUACUCCACCAUAAUGCUAGCAGAUUUCCCUAAACCUUGAUACUCCAAUUUCUUCCAAAUCUAGACAAGGUUAGAAAAAAAUCUAGUACUACGAAAAAGUUUAUCCGACUUCGAUCCCCCCCCCCCUCCAAUUAACAUUUCUAUAACGAUGAAACGUGAUUGUUAUACUCCAAUUAAUCAGCAUUUCUCACUUUUAUUUUUGACAAAAUUUAUAUUUUUAUAGAAUUUUUAAAAACAUAUUAUUAAAUAAUAAAAAUACUAUGAUUAGAAAGUAUUAUAACAAUAAAGAUAGAUCUUGAUAAUACAAAGGUGAAAUUAAUAUUUGGAAAAUUAAUUAUGCAAGAAAGGGAAAAAUGAUUAUUUCUUAAAAUUGAGAAGAGUUUAAUUUUUAAAAGUAAAAUUCAGUUAAUGUUAUAAAAAAAUUGUAUUAUAGUGAAUGUCUAAUUAUGUGGAGUCCUUUUAGGAUAUGUUAGAAAUCCUACUUGGGGAUAAAGUUAGGUUUCCCCUAUAAAUAAAGGGGUUUUCGUUCAUUGUAAAGAAGAUCCAUGAAUCCUGAAUAUACUUCUAGAUGAAUAAGAAGUCUUUUCUCUUCUUCCUACUUUAUUCUUCUUCUAAAUUUAUAUAGUUUCAUAACACAUUAUCAACACGAUUGUUCUAUUCUUAAAGAAUUAUGAUAGAAGACAGGAAAAGUGCAAAAGAGAUCUAGCAUAAGUUAUGAAAUAAGGUUCUUAAAUAUUCAAGGUGUGAUUUAUCUAUAUGUUAUAAUUAUUUAUGUGACAGAUCGGAGUUACCAUCUGGAGUAAGUAUUUAAAGAGACUUGUGGACUUUUUAUACGUUUAAUUUUAAUCGAUUGGAAAGAGAAUUCCUUAAUUUAUUUUCAUAACUAAAUAAACACAAUUAGUGAAAGGUAGGCUUUCAAUCUUUAUGUGAGGUAUGUGAUCUAUUAAGUUAUAUUUAUUAAAUACUAAUGUUGAUUAAUAAUAAAUCAAUAAUCUCAAUUUUGUGUGUAAUUAUAAUAUACGAUCAUAUUAAUGAUCAUCAAAAGUGAUAAAAUUACAAUUAUUUUGAAGACUUGAGGUUGAGCCUCAUUGUGGGUAAGACGGUGAAUAAGUUUUAUUGCACCAAAAGAAUAAGACGAUGGAUUUACGUUCAAUCGCACCAAGAGGGUAAGACAUUGACUUAAAGUCUUGAUGCACCACAAUGAGAAGCUAUUGGGUUCAAAUUCUAUCGAUAUAUUUAUGGCCUAAGACAUUUUUUGUAUGGAUAAAACAUUGAAUUUGAGUCUUAAUGCACCAUAUUGAUGAUAUAAUAAUGACUAAAGAAAAACUAAUGUCUUUUUUAUGAGAAGUCAUGAAAUUUACUGAAUUUGCUCCAUUACUAAAGCGAAUGUGGUAGUAGUGCAUAUAUGUCUAAAAGAAGUCAAGUGACUGAAUAAUGCACAUAAAUAUGGAGUGAGGUACUAAAACUAUCAUAAAUUGAUAUGCUCACAUUUUUGUGUUCCAUUCAUAAAGAAUGAGAACUUUUGAUAAAUGUUAAAGAUAUAGAUUCAUUUUCUAAAGUGAACGAGGUGUAAGCCAAUUGAGGCACAUUCUAUACUAAUUACAAUACUGUCUUACUUUUACAUGAUUGUAUGGGACAUCAUAAGGCAAAUUAUACAUAAUUAAAAUGAACAUUCAUUAAAGAAUUUAAAUAUUCUUUUUAAUGGUGAAUUUUCUUAUAUUGUUUGUUAUCAAGGCAAGUUGAUUGUGAGACCAUCAUCAGUGAAAAUUGUGAUUGAAUCCCAUGCGUUCUUGGAACUAUACAUAGGGAUAUUUAUGGACUUAUUCACUUACCUAGUGGGUUGUUUAGAUACAUCAUGGUCCUAACAGAUGAUCCUUCUAUAUGGUCUCAUAUGUGCCUAUUGUCAUUUUGCAAUUUGGGGUUUGCAAAAUUAUUGGCACAAAUAAUAUAAUUACAUGCACAAUUUUUCGAUAAUCAGAGUAGUUCAUUCAGUGAUGGAGUCACGACUCACCUCUAGAAGGGGUAGAAUUAAUGAGAAGAAAAAAUCUAAAAAUUACUCUCGGAGUAAUAAAAUUAAAAUAUACUCAUAUAAUAGUAACUUAGAAAUUUACUAAAGCAAAAAGACACAUGACAUAGUAAAACUUGGAGUUUACGAGUACUAAUAAUUAUUAGUUGGCAUGAAUAAUUUGGUCAUCCCAAAAAUGUGCAUACUGAGUAAUAGACAUACAUUGAAGAAUUAGGAGAUUCUUCAAGAAUUCUUUUUGUUGCUUGUUCUCAUGAAAAGUUGAUAGGAUCAACUAAUGUUGGGACUAAAUCCCUAAAUUCUGGAAAGUAUAAAGAUGAAUAUGGGCUUAUUCACCUAUUAUGUGAUAUGAUAAAGAGAUACUAUGACGGCACUCAUCUCGCUGUAGCAGUGUCAAUGCAGCGACACCUUUUGAACCAAUGAGCUAUGUCUUGAAAAAUUCCAAAAAUCCUAUAAUUCAAUCUUCGCCUCGUUCGCUACAGCGACACCAAUCCUGAUGUAGCAGCGUCACUGCAGCGACACGAAGCAAGGCAGUAAGCUCCUGAGGAAUUUUCAGUUUCCAUUUUUCACAACAUACUCUUAGCCCAUUAUGCUAGAAAGUACCUUUAACGUUACAGUCAAUUUCCGGAGGUUUAUUUAUCCAAAUUCAAUUUCGUAAAGUCGUACGAAUUUCCUAUCGAGUUAUCUAAUAGAUUAUGUAAUCAAAUUCCUAUUUACUCCACCCUAUUGCUAUCAAAUUUCCCUACACCUUGAUGAGUUUAAUUUCCUCCAAAUCUGAACAAGAUUGGAAAAAUUCUAGUACCACGAAAAAGUUUUUCCGAGCUCGAUUUUCUCCCAUUUACAUUUUUAUAACGACAAAAACCAAUCUUUAUAGUCCAAUUAAUCGGCAUUUCUCACUUUUCCUUUUAACAAAAUUUAUAUGUUUUAUAGAAUUUUUAAAAAUAUAUUAUUAAAUCACAAAAAUACUAUGAUAUGAUUUUAGAAAGUAUUAUAACAAUAAAGAUAGAUGCUGACAAUACAAAGGUAGAAUAAAUAUUUGGAACGUUAAUUAAGCAAGAAAGGGAAGAAUGAUUAUUUCUUAAAAUUGAGGAUAGUUUAAAUUUUGAAGUAAAAUUAAGUGUAAAUAAAUUCAAACCCUUUUAAUAUAAUAGAUGUGAGUGUCCAAUUUUCGUGUCUUUUUUCCCCUCAUUCCAAAAUUAUCAAUAAAAUGGAAAAAUUAUUGGUUUAUUCAAGUUAUUAAAUUUUAAUAUUUUAAGUUAUCAUCCUGAAAGUAAUUUUACUUUUUGUAUGAUAAAUAAAUUGUCUAUUUUAAAUUAUUAGAUGUUAGAUUUGUAUAUGUAUAUUUAAUUUGAUUAUAAAUAAUAGAUAUUUAAAAUAAUUUCUCUCUAUAAAAUAAUUUGAUAUUAAAACUACAUUUGACACUUUUUCUUUUUCAUAAUUUGAUUAAAAAAGCAUUUUUCAAAUGAAUUAGUUAAAUAUAAAUUGUUCUUACAAAAAAUAUUUUUUAAAAAACUAUUUUAAAAAGUAUUUAUAAAAAAAUAAGCAGUUUUUAGAAGUAAUGUUAAACAGACUUUUAUAAUCAACUCUCUUUAGAAGAAAAAAAAACCUUUUAUACAUGUUUUCUUACUCUUGAACACCUCCUUCGCUCUUUCUAACAACGUCCUUAAAUAAUAUAGCAAGUCACAUUUCAUUUUUAAUUGUUUCAGUUAUACUUUUUAACUGAUGAUUCAAAGAAGUAUAGAAUUCAUCAUAAAAUAUAGCAGGGUAGUUGCUUUUCUUGUGUCUAUUACAAUUAUCAGUUCAAGGAUAGAUUAUAAAUAAACUUUAAUAAGUUGUUAAGAGUAAUAACAUUGGUAUUGAAAAAAAGUCGAGGGUAAAAACUGGAGUUUAUAUGUAGCUUUUUCUACUUUCUUGUAAUAUUUUUAAUGGUUUUGACAAAGAAGUGGGACAUGAUAUUUAAUUAAGAUAUGCUGAACUUAUAUAAAUGUUUUUUUGUCAUUGUUAGAAUAAAUUAAUGCUUUUAAAAAAAUGCUCAAAUUCAUUUUCAAACCAUUACAAGAUUCCAACUCCUAAUUCCAUAAUAGAUGUUUUCUUAAGAAGUUCAAUGAACUUACGUGGACAAGGACAAUAUUUUAAUUUGUUUCUAAUUUUUUUCUCACACUUUUUUCUUCAAAGCUUUAUUACUUAAAAUGGACAGAACAAUUAUAUAUAUAUAAGUUACUUUGUUGAGAAAAUGACAUAAAUAGUCCCUCAAUUAUAGGUCUAAAACGGUCCCUAAAUUUUAUACUUAAUGAAUUCAGUCCUUCUUCAAUUAAUUAAAAAUUUGUUAAUUUAAUUUUUUAACUAUACACUUAUCGAUUUUAUUCUCUUAACUAUAAAUUUAAAAAUUUUAAUCCUUUAAAUAUUUAAAAACUUAUUAAGUUUGAUCUUUGUCCGUUUUUAAAUAUAAAUAACUUAGGUUUUUAUAUUAACAGAAUCUACGCCUCGAGAAACUAAAUCAUUUAGCAACUUUUUCUGGUGGUUCUAUCUCCGUUACUUUUUCUUCAAAUUAACCUUAUGCGAAGAAGCUUAACCUCAACGAUUUAAAAUAAAAUUUAUGAAUAAAGAAAAUAUGAGUCAUAAUUUUAUUCAACAGAGCAUAAAAUGAAGCAUAUUAUUAUUACUAAUGACUUGAAUAUGUUAAACUUUAUUAUAAAAAGAAAAAAAUUAAUAUCCGUUAAAUCCAAAGUUUGUACUCCAACGAUUUCAUUGAACUAGAUUUGUUUAAAUUUUUCAGAAAUGAUAAUUUAUAAAAUGAUAGAUUUUAUUUUUUAGAAUAUUUUUUUAAAUAGAUCAAUUUUAUUAUUCAAUUCCUUUUAUUUUACAUAAAGAAAUUAGAGUAAAUUACAUAAAAUUCGGACUGAUUAGCAUAAUGCAUGAUGAGUUUCUCGAACAAAACUAUCAAAGUUUAGGAUGGUGCGUACUAAAAACCAAAGAUAUUUGUAUUUUAAAAAAUGGACAAAAAUCAAACUAUUGUGAAUAUUUAAAAAAUUAAAAUCGGUAAACUUAUAGUUAAGAAAUUAAAAUUGAUAAGUGUAUAGUUAACAGAUCAUUUUUAGAUCUACUCAUAUAGUUAAGGGACUAUUUAUGUCAUUUACUCUUACUGUCUUUAUUUUAAUUUAUGCACUCAUCAAUUUAAUAUAAUUUUUUCAUAUUAUAAAUUUUUAAUUAUUUUAAUUUAUAUUAUAUUUAUAUAAUUUUUAAAUAAUAUAUAUUAUUUCCUUUGUACAAUUUAUAUAACAGCAAUAAAAUUUCAAGAACUAACCAAAAAUCAUAUUUGAAAUAGUUCAAAUUGUUAACUAUUACAAUUUUUAUAUUAGUUUUUGUAUUAUUUUCAAAUAAUAUAUGUUACUUUUUAUCAUUCAAUUUUAGAUAAUAAAACUUUGAAAGUUAAUUGUUUUUUUCUCUCAAAUAUUUUAAAUUAUUAAUUUAUAAUUUUUUUUGUAUAUUUUUCAAUUUAAUCGUAAGACUUAUAAAAAUAUAAACAAACUAAAACAAAAAUAUAUAAAAUUUCCAUAAAUACCAUCGACUAGAGAUUUGAGCUUCUAGACUCUUCUAUCUAGUAGUACCCUCUAUCUUGUUCAUUUUUAUUUGUCAUAUUGCGUUUUUUGAAAAUGAACUCACUAAUUUUUAAAAUUAAAUUAUAUUACAAUAAUUCAAUAUUUUAUGCAAAAACUUUAAAUGUUCAAAAAUGAUACAUAAAAUACUAUAAAUUAAAAUUUUUUGCAGAUCAAUAUGAUAAAAAAAAAUACAUUACAAAAUGUUAGUCAAUUUUUUUAUUGCUAUAAUAAAGAAAAGGAAAGUAUGACAAUUAAGAAAGAACAAAGAUAAUAUUAAAACAAAGUACUCCAUAAAAGAAAGUAUGACAAUUAAGAAUGAACAAAGAUAAUAUUAAAACAAAGUACUCCAUAUAUAUAUAUAUAUAUAUAUAUAUAUAUAUAUAUAUAUAUAUAGUUAAAAUACAUGCACCAAACAUUAUAAGGUAAAUCCAAGAUUUAGAAAAGCAUAAACAACAGCACAAGACAACAAACACUAAUACUAUUACAAUUGCAUGCUAAGGCACGCAACUUAUUAUUAUUAUCAUCAUAUGUACUCUCUAAUCUCUAUUACUACUAUUACUACUACUACACCCAAAAGCUAAUUAAUAAACUACUCAGCCAUAAAAUACUCCCGAAAUAACACUUUGAUCAUGUUCAGUAGAACUGAUGAUGAGUUGAAGCAAAGUCCUCCAUCAGAAAAACAUUAAGAGGAUCAGAAUCGACGAUCCCUGAAAAUUGAUCAGAUGGCUCCAAUUCCAGGAACGAUUCCAAAUUGGAAAUCUGUUCCUUCAGUUCAUAAUCUUCACUAACUAUGGGCAUUUCCAUGGGGUAGUAGGGAGUUUGGCUCUGAUACUGGACAUCAUAUCCAAAGUUCAUCAAAGGAGAGUUGUCAGAACUCUC